rnacentral:lncRNA from 1 species
AAUAGGGAGAAAAUUUGUAGAAGAGGGAGUCAUUUGGACAUCCUGGGAAGAAAAAUGAUCAUCACCGGCCAUGUUUGUGGUCAUAACUUUUUGUCGUUGCACCUCAGGCAGCAAAUUGAGACAUUUAUCCUGUUGAGAGGACAUGUCAUAAAUUGUAAGAGAUGGAAGAAUUCGAAGACAUGCUUAUAGAAUAACUACACAGAAGUGUCAUCACAAAUUCGCAAAAAUAGUGUCAGAAAUUCUUAAUAAAUAUUACAAGGAACUAAACCGUCAAAGAAAAGUUUUCUACAGUUAACCUCCUUUUUCUUUCCUCAAAAUACUAGGCUCAGAAUUCAGAUAGCAUGCUCCUGUUAUAAUAGUUGAAUCAUAUUCUAUAUUUUAACUUUGCCUUGAUUAUUGGAAUUGCUGUCAGAUUCAGGACAAGUGGUCUUAAUGGCGGCUGGCCAGAUGUGUGUCUAUUAGGGGGCAGACAGACUGUUGGGACAUGAAGGACAGAAGCUCCAUUACUUGGUCACUUGAAUCAAGAGGGUUUGUGGAGGUUGACUCAGUCAUAGAAACCAAGAAGUGGAACUCACAAAAUAAUGAGGGUAUGGAAGCACCUACAAGGUACAUGUCCAAGCAAGAAAGGAAAGAUUUAUAUGACUACAAUACCUUAGGCAGAAGAAUUAGGUUCGUAAGAUGCACAUUUCCAUAGUUAAAUCUAACUUCGAUGUUGAGAAGACGGCUCAUAAAUGGGGCCUUAUGUAGGAGGAUCACAUAGAAGCAAGAACUGAUUUAACAGUUUGAUUUCAUAGUUUUUCUAAUACCCAUCAAGGUACUGAUGUAAAAUUUUCUUGUUUAUCCUGUUCUUAAAGCGCAUGCAUCAAACUUGACCUGAGGUAUAGAAACCAAUAUUGGUUUUGUACCAGUGAGGGGAUGGCAAUAAAAUGAUAGUGGAUCUGGCCUACUGGGUGGUACAGUCAGGCAAACCAUCAACUGCAUUCAAGUGUAUUAAUAGAUGCAAUGAAAUAAAUCUGAAUUAUGUUUAAGAUCUUUAGAGCAUAUCGAUACUUGGGAAAAAUCAGAAAACAUAUGCAUAGAUACAAGUACAGCCAAAGACAUGCAUAUAUAUCUAUAUAUAUAGUUAAAGAUGUCAUUCAAAUUAUAGACUUUAGAAACUUCUCAUCGUUUUUUGUGAAAUUAUAAACUUUAACUCGAAAUAGAGAUUUUGGUAAAGCAACAGAAGCAUAGAUGAUUUCAUCAGUCCUAAUUGGUUCAGAGCAGACACUAGCAAGUAAAUAGUAGAUUCUGCGAAGAUUUUUUUUUCUUUUUGUGAGAGAGAGAGAGAGAGACCUGCAUUAUAAACACCUAUGCACCAUCCAAACCUAGAACCCUCUCAUUGCUAAGUAGAAGUGUAUAACCACUGGGAUAAGCCCCAGUUAUUGUAACUGAGUAAUUAAGGUAUAUGAUAUAUACAGAGAUUCAGUAUAACAUUGCAGAGCAUGCCAACUUGCUUUCAGACUAUAGACAGGAUUCACAGGAAUUACUAAGAAUAAAGAAAACUCCAUAAUGGGGGCUAGGCAUGAGAGGGACAAGUUGACAAAGUGAGACUAUGGCUAGACUUAUACUAAGAUGAGUUCUUGUUAGCUUCUUGCUUUCUGUCUUCAGGAUCGAUCAGUGUUUGGCAAAACAUAAUGUCCGAAGUCUAUGGACAUUGUUUACGGACAUACUCAAAUUUGACAGUAUUUUACAAAUGAAAUAUCUUAACAAGAUAUGCCAAAAUGACGUUCCAAGGAGCACAUCAAUGUUAUGUUUCUUGUAGGCCAACCAGACAUGGAUGUUGGCGGUGUUUAUCUUACAAAUGCUCCCUUAAGGAAGCAUUCAGAAGUGGUGAUUUAGGCUUUGGGAGAAUUUCCUUACAAAAGGGAAAUAAAGAGAGAGGUCAUCUUUGCAGGAAAAGUUGUGGAACCAAUUGAAUAGUGAAAAAAGGAUCUUUAUGAUACCUAUCUUUGAACAUGGAAACUUAAACACUAUCCUAUCAUUACUUAUUAAAGAUUGAAAGAUGCUUCUUUAACAUCAAGUGUUUCACAUGAUAAUUUUGAUGUCAUUUCCCUCUAUUUCUAUCCUUGUUUUUUGGUUUUGGGGGGGGGGGGGGGGGGGGGGGGUGCAUAAAUACGGCUUAUUGCAUACCUACCCUUUGUUGGCCAGUUUUUCAUCUUGUUCGGUAAGUACCGAGGAACUCAGGGCCCUAGGGAACUCGAUUGAUUGGCUAAGAAAGGCAUCGAGUCUCAACAGCAACGAGGUUGGUAGCACGUGUACCACUGGUGUCUGAUUAGCCGAAAAGAUGAUGGGGAUCGAAGGAAAGAUAGAGAGUAGUAUAGAUCCACGUGCCUCAACUUUCAAGGACUUUCGCCACCGUCACAUUGUAGUUCAAAGAUGGAUAAGAGAUGCAGCACUUAGCUAUGGUAAGGGUGUAGUGCUGGGCUACAGUUAAGGUGUGGUAAUAUGCAACGAUAAGGGUGCAGCACUAUGUUUAUGAUAAAAAUCUAAGUUAUAGCUACUCAUAUGGUAGAACUACUGGUAGAGUAAAACUCAAAUAAGAUAAAAAGAUGCAUUGAAUUUGUUGUUGAAAGGCCUAUAUAUAAAGUACAAUUCUUUUAUUUAUACUAAAACAAGAUGAUUGCCCACUCUGAUGGUUGCUAUCCACAUUUGGUCCCCACUCCUGAUGGCUCUAAUAACUGACACCAGUUGCUUUCCUACUGCUGCACGACUAUCAAGAUGGCUACUUUGUGCCAACUAUUAGACCAAUCUUCAUACUCUAUCGACCUUGGCUUGUAGAAUUACCUUUGGCCUACCUCUUCACGAUGUUGGCUAUCUUCUUAACCAUCUUGUAGCAUAGUCCUAUUUGAAGACAUCAUCGAGACUGAUUUGGUUAGCUCCAUAUAAUUUUUGUCCAUCUUGGUUUCUUUUACCGGUCAUCACGCUAACGUUGGGCCUUGGCUUCAUCUCUAGGAGCCACUUCUGUAUCUACCUCGGGGUGCCACAUGUGCGGCUUGGAUGUUUGUGGUGCAAAUAAUGCCCUCCACAUCCUGUUAGCUAUGGAUCAGUUGGGUAACAAAAUGUACCACACAUGCUAUCAAAGGUAUGCUGUUCAGAAAUUCAAAGCGCUCAUGCUUUUAUCAUAAUCCCCGUUGACAUGUAUCCUCACCCUUCAAACAUGGUCCAUGUGGCUUAACAAGAAAAUUUUUGGAGUAGACCACUUCCUAAUCCACUGCAAUCAAUUAGUAUCCUUCUAGGACAUGGUGUUAUGCAGCACCAGAACCUUUUCAAAUAGCUCAAGACGUCCAUCUUCCAUCAUUGUGUCCAAUAGCUCUUACUCCCUUUGCCUUCUUUAAGCUUUUCUAAUCUCAACAACAAAAUGAGCCAAGAUUCUGCCUCCCUUCACACUCUUGCGCACGAAAGACGAGGAGCUGGGGUUCUGUAAUCAAUAGAUCCUCAGGUACUGAUCCAAAAACCCCUUGGCCUUUAUUUGUUAGGGCCCGUCUUCAGAUCUUUGAUCCCCACCCCCCCACUCUUUUGUCUUCUCAAGCCAUCCCAAUGAACCUUUCCUUUACAAGAGAACGGAGUUUAGACCUUCAGUUUGGAAAAACCCCAAUCACCAUCGGCCAAGGCCUCUCAGGUGUGAUCUUUGGAAUCAAUAGCUUGACUGCAUCUCCUAGCAUAAAUCGUCUGUUUGGGGGAAACAAUCUCUUUGAUAUCUUAGCCUUCUCCCAUUCUCUCUCUAAAGCCAACCAAUCAUUACUCUUUGCCACUUCAUGUUUCUGAUAUAGGUAUUCUUUUCAACCUCAGACCAUUUGGCAAACCGUUUAGUGCCAACACUCUUGUUGAUAUUCCCAGUAAUGAUUUCAACCUAUCUCUACGUCAACAUAUUAUUUACAAUUUGUAUAUGCAGACAUUGCCAUCGUACUAAGCCAAACUCACAUCAAGAAUAUGUAUUACCUUUUCUUUAUCUGGAUUUGCAAAUACAUUCUCUAUUCUCUGUCGGUCCAGAUGGUCAAGGCCCAUCUCAGUUGGUCGUGGCACUUGCUAAAGAUCUUUUUGUAACUUUAGCUCUCCUUAUUUUAGCUUAUCUCUACCAAGAACUUAAAGAAAUCACCUCCAGACGUUGGGGAUGUGGAUUUCUUCUUUGGAUGCUCUAGAUCUAGUUGUACAAAUACUUUCCUAAGAUUUAUCCAUCCAUACCUAAUAAGAACGACAUGGUUCCUAUCGAUAGCCAAUAGGUUCAUUUCAAGGGCCUGCACCUUUCUUUCUUAGAAUACUUCCAUUUCUUCUAAGAAGGCGCUUCUUGUAGAGGCAUAUAUGUCCUAUUUCUUUCAUCUACUCUCCGAAGCCUAUUUAGUUGAUAUUUCUGAGGCCAAUAUGUUCUCCAUUGAGACCAAUGUUGAGGACUCUUAUGGAGAAACUCCUUAGUUCUCAGGAAUGUCCAUGUUGGCUCAAUAUUUGAUCGAUUCGAUCAAUAAUAAGUGCUUCAUUGAGCCUUAUUCCCCCAACCUCUUUGCUCAUCAAUUCAGUCUGAUCCAAGGUGUCCCUUUUCUAUCCUUCUACACUUUGAAUGCAUCAUUUUUUAUCAACUCCUUAUUUUCUGAGCCACAUCAGAUCAUGCGGACAGACUUCUUCUAUGAGCAGUUGUGUUUGGAACUUUGGAUAUCACUUUGUCCCUUUUGACCUUCAGUCCAGCAUUACCUGAUUAUUUCAAAGUUGGUGGAAGGCUCACAUAACUAAUAUUCAACUCCUUAUUUCAAAGUUGUUGAUCAGCUACUUAUUUCUGAGCCACAUCAGAUCAUGAUGGCGAUUCUUCUACGAGCAGUUGUGCUUGGAUUAUCACUUUGUCCCUUUUGACCUUCGGCCCAGCAUGACUGGAUUAUUUCAAAGUUGGUGGAAGACUCACAUUGUUAGAAACUAGGGGUUGAUUAAUAUGCGCAUUGGAAGAAUAAAAUAAAAUUUUCAGAAUAAAUAUGCAGCAGAAUAAAAAUUAAUUUUUAGUUACGUGAGAUCUCAUCCCGAAUCAACCUUGGAUCCCUCGUAGUUAUUAAGAUUAAGAUAAGGAAGAUCAGAUCUUCACCUUUGCGUAGGUAGUUCUUCACCGCAAUCUGAUGAUCGUGGAUGUAUUCACGAUCCCUUUGAAGCCGCACAAGCAUUCGACCUCUACAGGUAUCCACACGAGACUAUCAUCUAAUCAAAAUAUCUGAUCUCACUAAGGUGUUAGCUCUCUUGCAGAGAUCCUCUUUGAUGAUGGAUUUUUUUUUUCUGAAAAUCCUUCCCAAGAAUUUCAACCUUUCCUCUUCACAUGCAAACAGAUCAGAAAUCUUUUCUGAUCCUUUCUUGAUUUCUUCUCAAAGAAAUCUCGCUCCUCAGUCUUUCUUGAUUUUCUUCUAAAAAAAAUCCAACACCUCUCUUUUUCCUCUUUUCCUUUUGUGUGCGCCCACUCUUUUGAUGUCCAACACUUGGACAUGAGGUAGGAAAGAGGGAGAGAUAGAGAGGACACAUAUGAGAAAAGAGCACGUCCAACAACUUGGGCAUGUUCCUCUUUCAUGUUGAGAUGUGAGAUAUGGGGCGUGAGGAAGAGAGAGGGUGUGCGUUAUCCUCUUAGAGAGAGGCACGUAACAAACCAAUGCCCAAAAACCUUUUCCCGUCUUGAGAAUUUCCACGUUAAAACCCCUUUUAACGUGAGGCAUGAGAUAGGAGAGUGUGAGACCUUGUGCGCCCAACACCAAGCCCUUUUUAAUGUGACAAAACCUUUUUCACUUAAGAAUCUAGGGCAUCCCAACUCUUAGGCGCUUAGACUCUUUCUCAAAGUGGGCAUGUAAACCUUCUCUAUUUUUCUUACACAUGAAUCCAAGGAGGCGUUAGUUUUGUGGGCGUGGAAUAAGUAGCGCACACAAGAGAGCGUGAGUCUAUGGGCACCACAACUCUUAGGCACUGGAUCUCAAGGAAAAGGUGUGAGGAAUUUUUACGUGAGGAAAGGUGGGGCACCAUCUCAUGAGAAAAGAGUCUUUCUGCACGUCAAACUCUUUAGGUGUAGAACUCAAGAAGCAUGGACUUUAACCAAAUCAAAAUCUGUCUCAUAGAGUCCUAUGGUCUUUGGAUUUUGACUAUGUCAACUCUUUGGCAUAGUCAAACCUUUGACUUGUUAACCUUUGAUGUGUCAAAUUAAAUCCAACCAUCUGAUCAGACCACCCUCUUUGUAUGUGAUCCCAUAGAUUCUAUUCUAUCUGAUAGUGAGAAAUAUUAUGAUCUCCAUUAUCAAUAUCAUGAAAACUUCUUUCAAUAGAUUGGAAUAAUUUCAACUCAUCCUAUAAAAAUUAUUGACCAUCAAAAUAAUUCUCAUGUCUCACAAUCCACCAAUGAUAUCUAGCAGGAUAUAGUGGCAUUCCAACAGAACGGAAUAGAUGAACCCCUCGAUGCAGUUAUCGUGUGAUACAAUCCUAUCGCGAGUUCCAACAAGAUAGAGAUUAUGAAAUUUCUCGUCAAACCUCAUCAUCUGUAAUAUAUCAAAUUUAUUAAAUUCAAGUUUCUAAUGUGAAAACUAUGAAAAUCUUUUUCCACUAUUUACACUGCCUUGACCAAGAUCUUCUGAACUCGAUCUCAUAAAUCAUAUAGGACUUUCUUAUUUCUCAAAAAGAGAGAUUUCAUAUAAGUGCACAUUCUAUUCUUACAAUAAACCUACUGCAGCCAGCAUGCACCGUAAAGACAUAUAUAGCUAGAAGAUCAAGUGUAUGUGCAAUCAAAUUACAGUAAUCCAUUGUGAAUAGCUGAGGCACCGUAGGUCAAAAGACGAGUCACACUAUUACAAGUCACUGACGAAUGAGUAGAUAUCCAAGUGACUUCUCGUAUUGAUCACUCUCGAUACCUUUGUUCUCUAACCACCUGUACUCUUGCUCCAAUGUUCCCACUGUAAACUCGAAACUCAUCUAUGUUAAGAGGAAAGGGAUCCGUGCACCUAUCUAUUCGGAUCAAUCACCAUCCCCAUGAUGAUCCAUUGAUCGGUAGUAUUUAGAAAUUAAUCAUCAAUAACACACCUUAAAUUUUCAAUUUUUGAGAAUGUGUCAUCAUCUUAUUAAUUCUUUGGAUGAUUCAUAGAUACAUAAACAUGUAAUCCAACUGCAUUAAUAAUGAAAAUAUCAAAUACAAAAUUAUAUCCUAGAAUAAAUGUGCCAGUCUAAUUGACUUCUAGAGCAUAUAUCUAACACAACCAAUAUUCAGCAUGAACCUGCUUCCACCAUCUCAAGCCAUAACAAUAUUGGCACUCCUCUUGACUCAACAUCUUACUACGUCCUCUGAUUUGCUCCUGACUACUGAUAAAUCCCCAACCUCAGUGAAGAGCAAAGGUAUAUAUCUUACUUGGGCCAAACCUAAUAAAUAUAUUUCUAUAUAAUCAUUCCUAACCAAUCUUCACAUCUAUAGCUUUAACACCACUUGUUCGGCUGAUGUUGGAAACUAAAGUUUCUAGUUCAAAAAGGAUAAAAUGCUAGUUCACAAGUCCAAACCCACCCCUCUUCAAUGUAGUAGAAUAAGAUGCCCUAUAGCAGCAAGCGAAGCAAUGUCUUCAAAGCCUAUUGCGAUAUUGGACUCCAAAGAGUCACCAAAUGCUCCUGCUAAUACACUAUACAUACCGCAGAUCGAACCUUCAGGAGACUUAUCCCCAUCAGUUGAGUUGACUCCCUCUCAGUCUCCAACUUAUGAUCAUCCCCAAGAACUGCAAAUGCUAGGACCUUUGUCCUCUUCAUUGAUGUAGCUAGCACUUGUAAGCCUAAUGAUUUUGAGCUACUAUCCAACUCCAUCUGCAUUUUCCAACGGCAGCACUUUCCAACUCUUCGACUGUCGAUUAUGAGGUACCACUUGAUUGCUUUUGUGGCAAUACCUCUUCCUUUACUGAUCUAAUUUUUAUAAGGUCUCAUCAAUCCCUCCAUCUUCCAGUCUCUGGCUAGUGCCAGGGCCAGAUUAUUGUCUCGAUCAAUUAAUGCUCAUAUUGGCCACUUAUCACCUGAUAUUGUUGUAAAAGCAAGGAUGGCUAAAAAAGUCACUGUAGCCUAUAGCACAUUCUCACCAUCCCAAUCAAUAAGCUGGUUUCUCCAAAAAACAUGGCAAACUUUCGAAUGCCAUUUCAACCCUUUAGCAUUCGACCUACCUCUAAAUAGACUAGAUAGAUAAUUUCCACCAAAGGUUAACCAAUAUUGAAAUUCAUUGUCUACUGGCCAUCAUGAACAAAGAAGUCGAUACACUAGCCACUGGCAGUGACAAGCUCCAGGUUACGAUAUCUUUCUUGGAAGAAGAAAUCAAACAUGCCUCAAAUGCAUACAGGGCAAUUCAAGAUAAAAUGCGCACCUGCAAAGGUCGGCUUGUAUCCCUUAAAGUAGAGUUGAGCAACGUUCACCAAGAAAUACAACUUCUGGAGGAGAAAUAAGUAGAGCUAGAGAAAAAUAACAAAGAAAGAAUUCGAGCCUUAGAUGUAGCUAGAAAAUGAUUAAAAGCCUACAAAUCUCAAUUUCCGACUCUCUUCAACAAGAUGGUUGCCACCGAGCCAAUGUUGCAAGCUCUUCAUGAAUAGUGGGAGAUACUAAAAAGAGUUGUGAGAGGCCUUUAAAUAGAAGUAGGAUGCUUCCUUGUACCGGCCUCUAGGCCGAAGCUCAGUGGAUUGUACUCAUGAUGAUAACAUAUAUAAUACUAAUAGCAUAGAUCCAGAUACCUGACCUUCAAGAAUUUAUGCCACCGUCACACCAUCAUUUGAAGGUGGAUAAGGAAUGUAGUACUAGGCUAUAGUAGGGGGUAUAGCGUUGGGCUAUACCGGUAUAGUUACUCCUACUGUAUAAAUACUGAUAGAGUAAAACACGAUAAGAUAAGAAUAUGCAUUGGAUUGAUUGUCGAGAGCUCUUUAUAGAAAGUAUAAUUCCACUAUUUAUACUAAAAUAACUGCUCACUCUAACAGUUGCCAUCCACGACCGGUAUUCGCUGCUGGUGAUUCUAAUAACUCAUCUUGGUUACUUUCCCAAUACUGCAUAAUCAUCAAGAUGGCCAUUUUGUGCUAACUAUUAGACUAAUCUUCAUACUCUAUCAACCUUAGCCUAUAAAACUUCCUUCGACUUACCCCUUCACAAUGUUAGCUCUCUCCUUAACUAUCUUGCGGCAUGAUCCUAUUUUUGAAGAUAUCAUUGAGACCGAUUCAGUCAGCUUCAUAUAAUAUUCACCGAUCUUGAUUUCUAUCUUUAUCGAUUAUCACACUAACGUUGGGCCUUAACUUUACAUCUGGGAGUCCCUUCUGAUUCUACCUCAGGGUGGUGGCCACAUGUACGACAAUCCUUGGAUGUCUGGAUGUAGUGUAAACAUGGUUAAAAAAUCUUGGGCAUUCAAGAUUGAUAUUUCACGCCUUUGGCCGAGAGGACAGUGUAGAGCUUUUGGGUCCAACUAUGGUAUUAGCCCAUACUAACUGUCAUUUAUUUCAUGAUAUGCCCUCAUGCACGCAUGACUUCCUUUUUUUAAGAAACCCUAUUUUGCUUGCAAAAGACUCUGGACAGGAAGCUAUCUGCAUAUAUAACCCCCAAAUCACCUUGUUUUUACAAUAUACACCUCCUAUUACAUCUUUGUCUAAUCAUGCUAAUUGAUAACAAUUUUAAGUGUAAAUAACUUUAUUACCCUUUUGUAUGAAUAAUUUGGGCAAAAAUAUAGAUUCUUACAAUGUAGACUAAAUGUUCAACAUUCAGGGGUAUUAAUGCAAAAAGGUAAUAGUGUCAUUUUAUGCUUAAAACGUCACUUAUUAACACCAUUAGUCAAAAAUGUAAUUGGAGGGGUAUUAUUGUAAAUACAGGAUGACUUCAAGGAUAUAUAUGCAAAUAGAAAUUUGUGGAGGGUAAAUAUGCAAUAAGUCAUAUUUGCAUGGGGAUGUAUGCAGAAAUUCAUUAUUUGUACAUCUAUUGUUUGACUUAAUAUUCUCUUAAAUUCUUGAAAAGAGAUUAUGAGCUUUCAUGUUCUCUUUUUCCUUUCUAGAAGAUUAGAUGUAUAUAUAUUACAAAAUGCUUUCAACCUCCAAAUAGGAAAAAUAAAUGAUGAUUGGACAUGUCCACACUGGAUACCGCUUAUGAACUAGACUCAUGGAAAUCCAUAAUGUGGUAAAAGAGCAAGCAAUUAUAAAACCAAAAAAUAAUAAGAAGAAUACAUGUAUAUAGUUCUUAUUAGCUAAUAACAAACAAACACACUAUCUUAUUUGUUUGUAUUUGAUUAUCUAGUUGCUAUAAAGAAAUAUUUCAUUCUUUAUUAACAUAAAAUUAAAUAUGGUAGUCAUCAUUUUUUGCUUUUACCAAAUUUAACUCAUUAUCAUGUCUCAAAUUCCAACUUUCCUGUUGCAUUCAUGCAACAAAAGAUAAAAAGGUCUGACAUGCUCAUCCGCUGCUGAUGAUCCUCCAAAGGUUAGAAUGAUAGAAGGUUUCAUUUACUAGGUAAGAAGCCAAAUUUUCUGAAUUCUAAGCAAGAUAAUGAAGAAUUGAAGUUCUAAAUUCAUGGAGAAUGCAGUGUACUAUUGAACUAUGCAAAGUAAGAAGUGGGGCUUAGGUGAGGCAUAUUUUCAAAAUUGAGAAAAAUAUUUUAUGCUUCAAGAAGACAAAUUAUCCCAUACAAAAGCCUUAUUCUAGAAGUGGGGCAUUUUGGCUAAGAAAAUGGCCAGAGUGCAAAAAAGUGGAUGCAGCUUUCCAACACCUCAAGAAUUACUUGAAUCAAAGUCAGGAUAAGGGAACAACGACCCUAUAAUCAAAAGGUUAUAAAAGUUACUGAAAAUUAUGUUAUUGCCAUUGAUGUGGAUUUCGGUUAAAAUUGGUCCUCCCAAGUAUUUUUGAUAUUCUAAGUCAAAGUUGGAACCCAAUGAUCACAGGAGUUCAGCAAGACCUAAAGACUGGACUUUGAACUAUCUACAAGCCUUGGACUAAUGACUUCUGGUAAAAUUUAAGUUUGCUUAGAAAUUUGUUUCUUUCAUAGAGUAAAGAUGGUUGGAUCCUACCAGCUAUUGUUGUGGGAAUAGUUAGAUUUUGCAGUAGGAGUUAUUCCUUUCUUUAGUGAGUCAGAUCUCUUCGCUUUGCUGCUCAACAUACUUUGCUACUCUAUAUUAUAAGGGACAUGUACUAUUAUUUGUUGAUGUCUCUGCUUUAUUUAGUAUCAGAAUCAGACCAAUUUUGAUUUUCGGGUUGAGAAUUAUCUUCUCAUAUAAGAUUAAUGAUAGAAUGGUAAAAAGACUUUGAAAACACAUGAUUCUGUUGCUACUCCUAGGGGGUGGUGGGGAGGGCCCCAUCAUGUUACAGUUAAGGCAAAACAACUUACAACUAAUUCUGCCCUCCACUGACUUAUUGAUAUUAUCCUGGAUGCCACAUCUUCAUCAACAGUCCCCAGAACAUUCUGCUCCAAGCUUUGAAGAUUGCGAUCAACUCGAUAUGCUUCCGUGUAUCGAUAACGCUGAGAAGGAAAUAAAACACAUUACAAAAUCAUGACUUAUUCACAUGGAAUUAAGAAAAAGCCAGUUAUGAAAGCAUUCAAGUUUCCCUGCUCAUAUUCCCAAACCAUCUCUAUUUUGCUGUUAACUAAAAAAAAACUCUUUGAGAUGUACUUAAUGAAUUAACUAAAACUUUUGGAUGGCAUGAUUAGAAAAGCUAUAGGCAUAAUUAAGUCCAACAGAAGAAUUUCUUAAUAGUAAUGCAUUCUUGAAAUACAAGCUUGCUGAGACUAUAACGCCUGUCAAAACCCAAGACAAUAGAUGCCAAUGCCAUUGCAUGAGCCAACUUAGCACCACUUAAUGUGUUACUUAUAUAUUACAAUGUUAAAGAAACUUAAAUUGCAAGGACAUCUUUGAAACUGUUAUACAUACUACAUGGGUUUUUGGAUAGAAGAGGUCAUCUUGUUAUCUUAUUAAUGUUGACUAAGCCAAAAUAUAGGAAUGCUUAUCGGAGCAGAUCAAAAUUUAUCCAGGGCUCUUUGGUUCCCUAAACUUGCCUCACCUCCAACUCCAAUUCCUUGUCCUUGUAUUCACUUCACCUCAUGAAAUGAAUUGAUGACGCCUUCCUCUCUCUCUCUCUCUCUCUCUCAAAAGCAAUUCUAGUGACUCAAGUCAUAUUUUCUGCAUCUGAAGUUUCGACCAACUUGAAAGAAUACCUGCUUCGCACAUAACAGUCAUCACUCAGGUUGCAAAACAUACUUGGAGCCAGCUGUAACUUGUAUGAUGACACACUCUCUCUCCAUGUGGUAUCACUAGUAUAUUCUAGAUGAUGACUUUUUGCAUCUUUUUUGUUAUUUACUUUUCUUUACUUUUGUCUUAAGAGAUAAUAAACUGGCAAAUGUCGACCCUUACUAGUGUUUCUGUUAACUAUAGGUUAUUGUAUUACACUGGCAGAGAUCAUAAAAAUAGGUUUGCAAACUAUCAGAUUCAGAGGAAGAUACAAUCAACUAACCUUAAUAUUGAAUGGGUUUUGAAGGUAUAGUAAACAACAAAAAAAUAUAUAUAUUAUUCAUGAAAAUUGAUUAGGCAAAAUGAAAUCAAGAAAUUAAUCAUAAUAAUAGAAUAGAAAUCAUAUCUUAGUUUCUAAAGCAUGGAUGCUGGAGGUACAUGGAGAAACAUUUGAAUAUAUAUGUAAGAGUUAAGAUAUUACCUGGACAUAGAACACCAUAAGAAGACUACCAUAUAUUGUUGAAGGGUUUUGACAGGCAUGAUCAAAGAGACACUUGUGGAGAUAUCUCUCUUCAUCAGAAUUCCAGGGCAACUCAAUCAUUCGGUCUACCAGGUUCCUUCGAAUACAGAGAUAGCAGAUUUCAGUUACCAAGAUCUCAACCUGGUAUAUCCAACACUCAGGUUUUGAACUGCUGGAAAAUGCCAAAUAAGAUUCAUGCCUAGACUCCUCUUCCUUUGCUUUUAAGCAGUGUAACCUCUGAUAGAUAAAGGCUUCUGUAAGAAGACCACAUUCAAUUCUAACCCGAACAGCUGUUACUGCCUCACCAAGUGAGACACAUUGGGGGCCGUCAUGCUCAGAGUUUGCAUAAGUGCAAAAGCCAUCAUGCCCAGUGCACCGUAAAACGGUCAGUGCUACAUCAGGACAUUGACGUUCCAAUAGAACUUGUGCUAUCUUUGGGUGUGUUUCUGAGCCAGCAAUUUCUGGGAGAAGAUGGCUAGCUUCCUGUCAAUAAAUAUAGUAACGUUUGCAGGUUUUAAUCUAUUUUAAUCUGAAAAUAGUCCAUUAUAAUAAUGAAUAUUAACAAUAUAAGUAUUCUCUGUUCAUGACACAGGAGUACACUUAUACGAGUGUUCUCUUCGUGCUGCAAGUCAUAUACAGCUGAAUAAUGGAACCUUUCAUAACACUCCAUCUCCAUCCAUCAUUCUGUACUUAUGUGUAAAAUCUUGGGAAGAUAUUAUUGGGGGCCUUUCCCCUUAUGCAUCCACAAAUGAAAUCUCCAUAAUAUGGUCACAGUUGCCCUUCCUGUUCUCAUUCCAGAUAUGGAACAUGUUUAACUAAUGGGAAACAACAUUUUGAUGACUGAAAAAAAGCCUUAGAUCAAACUUCUAAGCCACACUUAACUUUCAAGAGAGAUGAUGGGUUCCUAACAAUCAGAUAUAGGUGUAAAUAUUCAAGCUGCAGUGAUGCAGCCCUAGGAUUAGGUCUGGAUGAAAGAGGGUCCAGGGGCUCUUAGAAAGGAUUAAUAGGUUCUCUCUCUCAAACAGAUUUCUGGAUGCUGUGGAUGAAUUUCAGUAAUUCACGACUCAACUGAAGUGCUGGAAUCACUAGUUUAGGGUUUCCUAGGAUUCUGUAGCAUAGUGGAAAGAAAAACAGGGGUUUAAUUGCUGUUCUCAAAUUCCAGCCACACCAAAUAUUUAAAAUAUGUUACAAAACAGACAUCCAUCAACCCAUCAUGCCAAGAUAGCUCAUUGGCAAAGAAAAUAACAAAACUAAAGCAUGCAAAAAGGAAAUCAAAUCAAGUGCUUAAUAAGGUUAAACAGCAAGUAUGAAGAUUGAUUAUGGCAAAAUUGUGAAAUAAAUCAGCAAGCAAGAAAAGAAAGAAAGAGACAAAAGAAGAAAAGAGCAGGGAAGAGAAGAGAUAGAGGGAAAGGGGAAACCUGAAGAAGCAGAUGUCUUUUUUUCACUUGCAAUUACUAAAAACUGCAGAUAAAACCCUUUUGUAUGAAGUGUCAUUACCCAGUUAUGUUUCCGAUAACACGGGAUCUUUGGUGGGGCAAAAUGGGGACAGACUAUUCUACACAAAAUGGCUGCCCAGGACUUGAACCUAUGCUAUUGCACUUGUUGGACCAAGCCUUUACCAUUGGACCAAGCUUUUACCAUUGCACCAAGCAAUGGCCCCUAGAUAAAACCCUAUUUAUAAAAUGCCAAAACAUAUUACUUUCCCAUUUUCUCAAUCUGGACAGACCUAAACUUCGGCACUAUUUUCCACAAAAUAGCUGCCUAACACUCAUCCUAUGCCAUUGCACUUGUUGGCCCAAGCCUUUACUAUUGCACUGAGCAAUAGCCCCCAAAUAAAACCCAUUUACAAAUCCCUAAAACAUAUUCUUCCCCAUCUUCCUAAUCUAUCAUUAACAUGCCUAGUUAUUGCUCAUCAUACUGUUUACACUUUAGUAAACAUGAAUAUUAAAGGUAUAAUAGAUUGUGUGACAACCAUAAUACUGGCUGAUGCAACAUGCAAACCAGCAUUUGAGAUUCAAUGACCCAAAUAAAACUAUUUCGAGGUUGGGGUCAUGGAUUAGCGGUUCAACCACAAGUGGGACAUGGUUCGACUAGAUAACACAAACCUCAAUUAUAGCCUUUUAGAUCGCAACGCCUAUCUAAAGUCCCACUAUUUCUUCCCUAAAACAUGCCCUCCCCUAAACUGUCUCCCAAGACAAGCCCUCCAUGCCUCCUCUAUGUCAUAAAGAAGUCAUUGCAAGUGCCAAAAAUACCAUGCCCACUAAAGGAACAAAAACAGAGAGUAAGUUGAGAUCUGUCAUAGAAUGGAUGCCUCGGUUUAAAAUUUCUAUCUAUUAGAAAGAGAAAGAUAUCUUAAGAUAUGAUAUCUAUCUUAAGUAUGUAUCAUAAACUGCAUUAUAUUUAUAAUAAAAAUUAUUAUAUAUAAAAAAUAUUAUUUAAUAAUUAUAUUUAUAUUUUAUAUUAUAAUUAUCUGUUAAAAAAUAUGAAAUUUAAUGAUAAAUACUAAUAUUUAAAAUUUAUAUUUAUAAGUAGUUAAUAAGUGCAAGGAAUGUAGAAUUAAAUAAAAUAAAUGUACCUAUUCAUCUUUCGGUAUGAAUAUAUAUGAUAAUUUGCUUUAUUGAAAAUUUUUAGAAUUCUUCUCCUAUCCUUAUUUCUUUUUGUCUUUCAAAUCUAAUAAGGAGUUUAUUAUGAAAAAUGAAAAAUUUUAUUAGGAGUUUGCGACUCUAACUAAUUCGAUCCAUCCAACAAACCGAGAUUCAUAAUAAAAAUGAAAGUUAUCGUCACAAUUUUAAAUUUAUUUCUUUUUAAAUUAGAUUUUGAUAUUUUUUAUUGUCUAUAUUAAUACGUAAGAAGGCCAGAUAAUUUUUUUCCCUAAUUUCUUGGAGGGAGAAAUUCACUUUUUUAUCCCAUUGAUAGAAGGUUCAUGAUUACUAAUAAUGAAUAGAGGUAGGAUAAAAAAAAAUAGAUCUAAAGGAAAAACUAAAAAGUAAUUAUCCAAAACUUCUAAUGCUUAUUAGAAGUAGAACUUAUGUCAUCAAAAAAAACAUCAUUCUUUUUUUUAUUAUGAUGAACUAAAUAUUUGUUUGCUAAAAAUAACUGAAUUUAGUACUAUCAUUUAUUAAUUUUUUGAAUUUUGAUUCAAAGGAAAGAAACUGUGGAGCUGAAAUAACUUACUCAGAACACCUUUUAAAGGAUUACGUGCUACAAUUGGGUCAAAUAAACCUUUAUGGAAAAAAAUACUAAGCCAAUUGGGAACCAUUGGAUACCGUCUUAUUCAAUGUUUGUUCAAUUACUCUUUUGCCCGCAAAUAUAAUGUAGGCAUUAGAUUUAGCAACAGCGACAUCUCUCAACACACCAAAACUAGCUAUUACACCACCAGUUGUAGAUGUAAGAAUUAAUACAUGGAAUAAUUUUUUAUUGGAUUGAUAAUUAUAUGAAGUGCAAGAUAUUUUAGCCAUUUGCAUCAAACUCAAACAUCCUUCUCGCAUGUGCGCUUCUCCAAAAGCACACCCAAUAAUGACAGGUAGAGAUCAAUUAGUAGCAUACUUGAUCAAACAGAUGAUUUUCUUUAAUAUUAUUAUAAUAAUAUGGUAUAAUUAUUUUAGUAUACUCCAAAUUAUUAUAGUUUAAUAAUAUAAUAUAAUUAAUAUAAUAAUGAUGAUAACAAUAAAAUAUUAUAAUAUGUCUAUAAUAGAAUAUAAUUUUCUUAUAUUAUCGUGUUAUCGUGUUAUAUUGUACUAUCAAACUGUUAUUACAAAAAUUUUGUUGACCUAUAAAUUACUUUUUAAAUUUAUUUUCUAAAAAAUUUCAUAAUCUUGAUCCAACACAGAUCUCUUGUCUAAAAAAAGAGCUUUCCAGCACAUCUCAAGUUUCGUUUUUGCCCAAAGCCCCAAAUUGGAGCUUUUUCCUCGUACAACUUUUUAGGCUUUUGAAGGAGUCAAGAAGCUAUUUCAAAACUUUUAUCCAACACCUCAAAAUCAUUCAAAAGAGCUUACGGCCUGCUUUGGCCCUCCAAAAACAAUGCUAAAUAAGGCCUUAGUCCCUUCUCUAGAUUGGAGGUCUGACCUACUCUACAUUUUUCAUUGGUCUCAAUUAUCUUCUAUUAUUGUAUUACAAUCAUAAUCACAAUCAUCAUGUAUUCUUCCAUUUUUUCCAAACGGAUGAGUUAUAUUGCAUAUCCUCUCAUUGCAAAGUCAAUCUUAAUAACUCAAAAAGUUUUCUAAUGGGAAAGAGUUGGGUAUUUCCCAUGUCUCAUUCUACCUAAAAAAAUAUAUACACAAAUUUAGAUGAAAAUUAAUAAAAUAAUAUCCAUUAAAGGGAAAAGAACUGAAGAAGCAUACAAUGAAGAAUGCCAAGCAUUGUCCUUAAUCAUGGUUCACCAAAUUGGACUGAACCACCCGAUUUGGCCUGUACCGAGCCAAACCGGUGUAGAAUUGGAUCGGUUCAAGGCUUAAAUUCGAAACAGGGGCUGAACCGACCAAUUCAACCAGGUUCAUUUUUUUUUAUUGGUUCGGUGGGUUUAAGAGACACAAGCGGGAAGAGAAGUCUCCUAACUUCUUUUCCCAUUCGUUUUCGUUUUCGAAAACAUCUCUCCCCUUCUCCACAGUACAACUAAGAUGCAAAACAAGGAGAAAUCAUCAAUUAAAGGUACAUGAGCUUCUCUCCCACCUCCCUUUCUCCUCUUCCUCUCUUUUUUGACAACUUGAAAAUCAGUGAGAAUUCAAAAAAUCAAGGACGAUCAUGCCAAGCUUUUUGAUUUUGAUAUGAUUUCAUUAUACAUGAUAGAUCUAUGGAUGAUCUACACAAUGAUACUAAAAUUAUUAAUUUUUAUUAAAUAUAUAAUUUUAAAAUUAAAAAUAUAUUUUUAAAAUAAAAAUAAAAAAAUUAAAUUCAAAAAAUUAACUUCAAAAUUAAAAUAUUUUUUAAAGGCUUGUAACAUAUUUUUGAUGUAAAUUUGAUGUUCAUUUAUCAAAAUUUUUAUGCAUCAUAUGCAUAGUGGCCUAAGCCUAAAUUUGAAUGAAAUUAAAAAAUAAAUAGCAUUUCAUACAUGCCCACUAUCUUAGAAAAAUAUAUGUAGCAUCCGUGAUAGGAUUCUACAUGAAUCUAAGAUCGAAUUAAUUUUUCAUAAUUUUUUAUUUUAUAAUUUUUAUUUAAAAAUAAUAAAAUAUAUAUACUUAAUUCAAAAAACAUAAAGAGACAACAAAAUUUUACUAUUUUUACAUAAUUACUAAACUGCUAACCUUCAAGAAUGAAUCCAUCGAGAAAGAAGCCAAAGCAUGAUAUUAGUUAGGGCCACGGGUGCUCUCGAAUCGACACCAUUGGAAAUAUAACUGGUGCAGCACAGAGUUCAAAAAAUGAAGGAUAACUGGAUUGAAAUAACACUUAACUGAUGGUUAACUCGAUAAAACUGUGCCGAAAGAGCCCAUAAGAGCUCUAUCAACUAACAAAAAAGUGCUUCACUGAUUUCAAAGCAGCGAAUGAGAGGACUUUGAAGAAGAAGAUGGAGGUGGACUACCAAAACUGCAUAGCCAUCCUUUUGUCACUCUAGGAAGUUAGAGAAAACGUCCAUUCUAAAGGAUGAGACAUAGAUCCAGUCAUCCAGUAUGCCAUUAAUGCGAGCUUGGAAGAUCAGCAACAGCUUAAGGAGUUGGCCAGAUAUAAGGCUCAGUUUGGACUGUCAGUUUAUGAAUUAUGGUCGAAUUUUGCGAGCACUACAGGAGAGUUAGAGUUUAGGAGGAUCUUCUCGAUUAGAGAGACCAUCGAUAGAGGCACAAGCCAUAUUGCUUGUAUGUUGAGAGCUUUUGGCAAUAGGAAGAAGUCCUUUAGAAAAAUUUCGGUUAGAACCACUAUCCACGACUUGAAUCCAUAUACCUUCCCCAAUAAGGAUUCCAAGCAACAGAGGGUUGACAGUAUGCUAAAGGACAAGAAAAAAGAUGUGGCAAGCUAUUCAUCCUGAUUUCACUUUAGCCAUAUCUCAGUACACACGACAGGCAACACAUUAUCACUCUGCUAUUAUAUCCAUACAGGCUACUGGUCCAAAUAUAGAUCCUUCAGAACUGAAGGACAUCCAUGAUGAGCUUCUUAACAAUAAUGAGGAACUAAAGAAUGGAUUGCAUCAUGUCGGAAUAAAUGACCGAUAAAUAAAUUGACGGUGAUGUGUGAUGGUUGGACUGAUUCUAUCAAACUAGAGAUGACAAUGGAUCAGGUUGAUCAAUACCCGUACUCAUCCCAUCAUGAAAAAUCCGUAUCCAUACACUCCCCCCCCCGGGUACCCAUACCGGUCGGGUAAAAUAAGGGCCUGAGUUAGGUCAGAUCAAGUCAAGUAUACCUACUUGCCUCGGGUCAGAUUUCACAAAAAUCCCCCAAACCUUACAACAUAUCAUGCUUCUACCAAGAUUAAGCUCUCAAAACCUUAAGGGCCCAACUCACACCGCCACAACUCGCACAAAAUUCCACAUUCUUGAGUAAAAAAAUCCCAUAUGAACCUAAGAAACCCGUCCGAUCGCCCUUAGGUACUCUCCUUCCUCAUAAAUCUCCAAAAAAAGUGUGUGAAAUGAAAAGAAAAAGAAGCAAAAAGAAAAAGGAAUGAUUGAUCUAUGUGGGAAAAGGUCUUACCUUUCAAAUUUUUCUGGCUUUCCUUUGUUUGCAUGGAUUUUUCCGAUGGUUUCCCCCGAUUUUUUCUCUAUUUUUUCCAUCCUCAAGAGUCAUCUCAAUCGGGCGAGGGCCUAAUGGCUAUGUUUUCCCCUGAUUUUUUCUUUGUUUUUUCCCAUCCUCAAGAGUCUCAAUUGGGUGGAAAGCUUAAAGCAGCCAAAUAGGAAGGUUUUCCUCUCUGCUUUUUUUCCAUCUCAAGUCUCAGCCGAGUGGGAGGCUUGAGCAGCUGAAUAGGAAAGCUUAGAUGAUGGCUAGGGUUUUGUUUUUUUUCCAUUUUCAAGAGUCUCAAUUGGGUGGGGGGCAUAAGCAACCGAAUAGAAAAGCUUUUAAAAGUAGCCAAAUAGGAAAGCUUAUAUAUACAUACACAUAUAUACAUAUAUACAUAUAUAUAUAUAUACAUACACACAUAUAUACAGAUAUACAUAUGUAAAAUAUAUAUGUGUGUGUGUGCAUACACAUAUACGCAUAUACAUAUAGGAUAAAUUACAAAAAUCCCUUAGAGAUUAGGGCUAAAUUAUACUUGUAUCCAAUAGUUUGAAAAACAUAUGCUUACCUCCCUGAUGUUUAGUUUUAUCUAACACUUUAACCUUAGUGACCUAACAAAAUAUUGGUCAAACCAUUAGACCCAAAAAUUAUAUUAAAAAAAAUUCAAAAUGAUAAAAAUGACCUUCAUAACAUGUGGUUGCUGAGGUCUUGGAAUACCUGCUCCGUGUCCCACUCCCAACUCACAACCACCUCAUCCCCCUCCUCGACCUCGCCCACCACUUCGCCGCUGCCAGCACCACCUUCUCCCUCACCCUAUCUCCACCUAGCCCAAGCCCACCUCCCACACCUGCUCCAACACUGGCUUCGCCUCCGAAACCUCUGCUGGUCCCACCACCACCACCAUCCAAGCCUGCAACCAUAAUCUAACCUAGCUCCAUUGCCAAAACUAACUCCAACUCUAGCUCCACCACCAAGUCCACCUCCUCCGAACCCACUACCAACACAGUUGCCAAGCCCGCUAUGGUGGUGAAACUAUAGCAAGGUUUGGGAAUGUGAGGUCGACGGUGAAGUAGUUGAUCCAACCGAGGAAGAAGUCAGAGAGAAGGACAGAAGCAGAGUUGGGGAUGGAUCGAACCCAACGGAGGACAUCAAGACAAAGGGAAAGGGCACAGAUGAGGGCAGCAAUUGAGGCCUAAGUGGAGAUUGCAUAUGUGCUCGACGCUGGCGAAGAGGGAAGGGCGGGUAGGGAGGGGAAGGGCUAAGGGGCAAGCAAAGGGGACAGCGGACAUGGAAUCAAGGAGGGGGAGGUUGGCCAGGGUGACAAGGACAAUGAGGGAGAAGGCGGCGCUGGCGCCAGCAAAGUGGUUGGAGAGGUAAAACCUCAUCGAGAUGGCGACUGAGUAGACUGACAGCAUCAGGUCAACGACCGCACACACCAUUGAAUCAAUGAUCAGAUGACCACUGCCACAACCACUGUCGCCAUCAUGGUCGCAUAGCAGCCAGGCAGCAAAGUCCCAGAUUUGGUUGGUGGCAAGGUAAUGGAGGAUGAAGAAGGUGGAGGCGACGAGGCGGACGGAGAGGCCACAAAGGAGGGGAAAGAGGGAAUGGAGGUGGGCAACAAUGGCUUGGUCAAAGGAGAGAGCAGGAGAAGGGGAGGGAAGAGAGUCCUUGGAAGGGAAGAAGAGAAGGAAGAAUGGUCCGUGUCAAGAGAAGAAAUGCUAAGGAAUAUUUUCAUCUUUUCAUAUUAAUGCAAAUAAUUUAACUAACACUGUUAAUUGCCUUAGGUAUAAGUGUAUAUUUUUCAAAUUACUGGGUUCAAGUAUAAUAAAAGAAAAUCUCAAGGAGAUUUUUAUACUUUACUCGUUGAUGUCGAACCAAAACAAAAGAAGAGGAAGAAGGCGAAUGGCAACACAAAGGUAAGAGAAGAAAUUUAGAACGAGCAAUCACAGAAGAUGCAUAGGAAAUUCUGCAAAUUAUUUCAAUUCUCAAUCAAUCAAGACAUGCCAAUGAUGUCUUAUAAACAUGUAUCUAUAAGCUUACAACCUCAAAGAUGGGAAGUAGCAAAAUUAAGCAACACAUCCUAACAAAAUAAAAAAUUAUCCAAAAUAAAUAUAGAAUCUUGUAAAUAAAGAAAAACAAAUUAAAUCAAAUCAACAAACUAAGAAAAUCCUAAUAAAAUCAGGAUUUCCAAUCAAAUCACCAAUAUAAGAAAAUCCUAAUCAAAUUAGCAAUUUAAGAAAAUUUUAAUUAAAUCUGGACUUUUGCCCAUGCCUAGUGUAAACGCAUAAGAGCGGCUUAGGAUUUCCAUCAUUUCUCUCCAACCGAAAAGAACUCAACUCCGAUAAGUUAUGAUGCUAGUAUGACUCCAAAAGAUCAAGAUCAAGAUGACGAAACUCCUCAACGAUUCAAGUAGCAUCAAAGAUAGGACAUUCCUUCCAGUGCACCAAGUCAUGUGUCAAACCCAUAAUCUCAUACUUAAUAACACCCUCAAUCUGCUCUCAGACUGACUGAUGAACUAGCGGAAGCUUAGGGAUAAGCGCAGAAGAAGUUUGACCUCCACCUGCACAAAUACCUACAGAUACUUUGGGAGGCUCAAAAAUAUCUCGAUAAGAAAACAAAUCCUCCAUAUUGAAAACAGGACUAAUAAUCAUAUGAAAAAAUAAAUCAAGCAAAUAAGCAUUAGAUCUCAAUUUACAAAUGAUACAAAAAAGUCCAGAGACUCUAGGAUGCAAUUUUUUGAAAGAAUAUUUAGGAUAGCGCUCAUGACAACCCACCAUUAUAUAAUCACCCUCAAAAUCCUGAUUUCUGUGCUAAACAUCAACAGCAAGUUUAUAAGUCUCAUUACUCAUCGCAAUCUUACGCCUAAUUUCCACAUGAAGGUCUCGAAUAUGGUAAGCAAAGGACUCUACAAAUUCAGAAGAACGAAAAUCAUGGGAUAAGGGUAUAAGGUUAAUGGGCUGACAAAGGACUAAACUAUGGAUAAUCUAAAAAGAAGACUUACCAGUGAACCUAUUAACAGAGUUGUUAUAGGCAAACUCAACAGUAGGCAACAAAUCCUAGUUUCCUAAUUUUUCUCCCACAAGGCAUCUAAGAAAAAUCUCCUAGACUAUGAUUAACAACCUCAGUCUGUCCAUCAAUUUGGGGAUGGAAAGCAGAUAAAAAUUUCAAAGUUGUCCCAAACAACUUUCAAAGUAUCUUCUAAAAAUAGCUAACAAACUUGACAUUCCUAUCAGACACUAUAAAAGAAGGCAAGCCAUGCAGUCGAACAAUCUCGUAGAAGAACAAUUUAGCCAUAUGUGAGGCGUCAGUUGUCUUCGCACGAGAUAUGAAAUGAGCCAUCUUAGAAAAUCUAUCCACAACAACUAAGAUGGAAUCAUGACCUCUAAUAGUUUCAGACAAUCUGAGAAUGUAGUCCAUGCUAAGAUCUUGCCAAAGUGUGGUGGAACAAGCAAUGGUGUGUACAAACCAGUAUUUCUUUUUCUAACCUUAGCUAACUGAUAAGUGCGACAUUGGGACACAAUUCAAGGAGCAUCUUUCUUUAAAGAGGGCCAAUAAAAUCGAUCCUUUAACAUGGUAUAGUCUCAUCACGCCCAAAAUGACCAAAGGCCACCAGCAUGCAACUCUCAAAUAAUAAAGUCUCUAAAUGAAGUGCGAGGAAUGCAUAGCCUAAAAUUCCUAAACAAAUAACCAUCUUGGAUGAGAAAAUCUACAUGGUCACGACAAUUACCAUCUACGAUCUCCCAGUAUAUGAGUCCAAAAUCAAGACAAAUGGUGUACUAAUCCUUCAACCUCUUAAACCCUAUCACCUGAGCACUUAUAGUAUGCAAGAGAUGUACCACUCCACUAAAUGCAUCAGAUGGCUUGUUCUUAACUCCUAAACAAUGGUUAAGAACAAAUGUAUACUCCUGGAGAAACUCAAUCCAUCGAGCAUGUCUGGCACUCAACCUUUUUGUGAGUUUAGAUUCUUGAAUGCAUGAUGGUCGGAGUCCAAUACAAAUUCUUGAGAUAACAAGUACCUCUAGUAUCUCAGAGACACACAAUAGCAUAAAACUCCUUGUCAUUGGUAGAAUACCUCUUCUUAGCUUCAUUAAGUUUUUCACUAAAAUAUAUGACUGGAUGUCUCUCUUGACUCAAAACACCUCCAAUGCCUACUCUAAAUGCAUCACAGGCAACCUCAAAGAGUUUAAAAAAGUCAGAAUGUCUCAGAAUGGAUGCCUCAAUCAUCUUUUGCUUGAUCUUCUUAAAGGUUGUGUGUGCAGCGUCAAUCCAUUUGAACUCUCCUUUCUUCAUGUUAUCAAUGAUGGGAGCCAUAGUGGUACUAAAAUCCUUAAUAAAUCACCUAUAAAAGGUGGCCAACCCAUGAAAACUAUGGACCUCAAAAGAGUCUUUAGUUCGGGCCACUCUCUAAUAGCUCUCACUUUCUUGAGGUCAGCUGUAAUACCUUACAUCGUAACAAUGAAUCUUAAAAAACAACCUGAGUCUGCGUGAAAGAGCAUUUCUGAAGAUUGACAUAUAUCUUUUCUACUCUUAAUGUCAAGAAAACCUGACGAAUGCGACUCAAAUGCACUUCUUUGAUCUCACUAUAGACUAGUAUAUCAUCAAAAGAUACAACCAAGAACUUGCCCAUGACUGGCUUUAAAACCUAAGUCAUAACCCUCAUGAAAGAGUUAGGAGCAUUAGAUAAUCCAAAGGGCAUGACUAACAGCGCAUACAACCCAUCUUGAGUUUUGAAGGCACUCUUCCAUUCAUCUCUCGAUCUAAUUCAAAUUUGGUGGUAUCCCUGGUGCAAUCAAUCUUGAUGAACCAUUUAGCCUUGAUCAAAAAGCCUAACAAAUCCUCGAACCUAGCGAUGGACAACCUAUACUUGAUGGUGAUCUUAUUGAUGGCGCAGCUAUCGACACAUCCGCCAAGAGCCAUCCUUUUUGGAAGUCAAUAGAGAAAGAAUAGCACAGAGACUAAGACUAGGCUGAACAAAGCCUUUCUCCAAAAAUCUAUCAACUUGCCAAUUGAUCUCUGCACUUUCUUUGGAAUUCAUCCUAUAAUAAGGCAAAUUGGAUAGCCGGAAUCCUAGGACCAAAUCAAUGGCAUGCUGUACAUCCCUCAUAGGUGGUAGCUCACUGGGAAGAUCCACAGGUGUCAUGUCUUUAAAUUCAUGCAAUAACUGGUUGAUCUUUGGGGGAAGGUCAGCUUGUGACUGAGACGACCCUUAUAAAACCUCUUUGGCCAUCAAAAUUGAAACAAUGCCCGACUUUUUGCCCUCUUUCUCAAAUUCCCUACGAGUUAGACGAUGGAGGCAUCUCUUUCCAACUCACUGAGAAAAAGAACUCGAAUCAUGUGCUCUAAAAGAACUCAAAGCGUGCGAAGAGGUACUGGGUGUUGGAGUCCCACGUGCCAUCUUCUUAUCCAACUUAGAGGAUUUGGUGGGCUGAAGUUGUAUGGCUUUAUCGAAGUUGUAAGGCUUUACCUUUAAACCUUUACACAUAAGCAUUGUCUUGCUCAUAAUGAGUGACGGUUAGAUUAUAUAACCAGGAUCAACCUAACAAGACAUGGGAUAUAUCCAUAGAAAGGAUGUCACAUCAGAUAUUAUCCGCAUAAUCAUCCAUCUGUAGAAAAACUAAACAUCGCUUAAUAACUGGCAAGAAAGUCUUAUCAACCCAUGCCACUCUAAAUGGCUGGACUUCAGCUUUCCAAGAGCCGACUUUGAAACCACAAUCAUGCAACUCCCUCCAUUAAUGAUGACUUUGCACACUAUCUCCCCACAUUUCAAUAAGUGUGAAAAAUGCAAGUGCGCUUUCAUUCAUCCGUGCUCAUGAGGCAUACAAAAUACCUCACAACCCCAUAAAAUUUAUCAUCAUUGCCUUGUCCUUAGUGUCGUCCUCGUACUUGGAGACAUGCUCCUCAAUCUCAAAAUCCUAGAUGUCAUCCUCAGCUGGCAAGUUUUCAGUAUCAUGAUCAAAAGUCAGAGUACAAUGAGGACAUCGGAUUGCAAUAUGACCCUUGCCAUAAAUAGUUAUGGCACUCAAUGUCACAUAUAUUGUGGUGAGGGUUAGUAAAUGUGGCAUCUCUACCCUAGUAUGCUAAGGUCCUCUGAGCAAGACUGUUACUUUUCCUAAAAGCAACAGGGCCAAAGAAAAUAUUCCUAGUGACUCUAGACCAAAAUGACUCCUCGACUUGGAAAGUCGUGUGCCUCUAAGUGGAUGAUCUCUAAGGCCUUGUGAUAGGCUUCCUGAAAAGAAUAAGUUGAAUAGAGACUAACCUCCCUUUUAAUUUCUAACCUUACUCCAGUGAUAAAUCGAGUGACCAACACCCAUGUUUGCUCAAUGAUAUCACAUCUGAUGAGCAGCUCCUCAAACUUAGACAAGUAUUCAGUCAUACUAAAAGAUAGUUAUCUAAGUGUGAGCAUUUAUUCCAUCAAUUGAAUCCUAUAAUAUGUGGGGAUGUACUUGUCUCUCAAUUUCUCUUUCAUUUCAAUCCAUUAGUCUAUAGGAUCUCAUCGUAGAUAUACUAGGUUCAUCUGCACUCCAUGCUGAUACCUCUUGGCAGAGCCAACGAGCUUCAUUUUGACAAAACGAACUUGCUAACCAUCGAUCAUAUCAUACCACUCAAAGAAAUCCUCCAUGUCUACUAACCAGUCUAAGAAGGUAUUGGGAUCUAGUUUACCAUCAAAACUAGGGACCCCAACCUUUACCCUCUUAGUGAUGUCCCCUAAAUUAUUAGGAUAAUAUCCCAACUGGUUGUGGGGGUAUCGAGAAGGGGAAUGCCUUUACGGUCUCUGAUGAUUUCCAUCAUGGUGCUUAGCAUGAAAAUUUCGAGGCCUGGGAUAGGCUCUUAGGUCAUCCUCUAGAUAAGAUUCCUCCUCUUCUAUGUGUCCUAACUCAAAUGGGAGUCCUCUGUGAUAAGCAACUUGAGAGGGAUUUGAAUAGGGGCAAAUCUCCUUCCAAUAUGUAGUGCUCUACCCCCCUAAACAAUAAGAGUUCUAGCAUGGUGCAAUAAAGGAACGACAAGAGUAGGUAGCAAGCCUAGGUUCGCAUCUAAAGUCUGUAUGGGGUUAUGCCUGUUACUUGUGCUACCAACAUGCUCAACAUUCAAGAAAACUAGAGAGUUACCCAGAGUAAUGUUUACCUAAAGCAGCUUAUAAUUGGAAAAAUGGUUUAAUCAUCUUUUUUCGAAAUUGGUCCAUGGAUGUUUGGAAAGUAUCAAUUUUAUGUUCAAGGAUGUCGACCCACUUAUCGAACGCAUCUUAGGUGUCAAAGAGAUCUCGAAUGGUCAUGAUGAUUUCAAUCUUAGCAAUAUAUGGUUUGAGAAGUUCUGGUGAACUAAUAUAAAAUUAGUCACAAAUUUCAAGUAUGGAGAAAGCAUACCCUGUGUCGGAGUUUCAAGGACCCAAAAGUGCAUAUUUACUUAAAAUAGAUUCUCUCUCUCACUCUCUUGGCCGGUCGGAUUCAGAUCUAAUGUCUUAAACUGGGUUGGAUUUGGAUCUGAUUGUGGGUACAAAUCUGGAUCUGAGUUUGGGUCAACCUAAGCAAUAGCGACAGCAAAGGAAGAGAGUGGGCCUUCCAGAUGCGACGAGUGUCCAAGAACGACAAUAAGUCGAUUAUCAGUAGUGGAGGCUUGAAUUCUAGCAAUGAAGGAAUGAUGGACACCUUCUGAAAUUGGUGAUGGCAAUGGUCAGAGCUAUCGAUGAUUCCGAUGGUGGCAAGGGUCUGGAGUUUUGUGGCAGCGAUGGUGGUGAGUUGUUUAUGUGAAGCAAACGACUAUGUUCUGAUACUAAUUGAUGCCAAACCAAGAAAGAAGAAAAGGAAGAAGACAAAUGACAGAACAAGAUAAGAGAAAAAUUAGAACAAGCAAUCAGAGAAAAUGGAUAGAAAUUUUUGUCAGUUAUUUCUAUUCUCAAUCAAUCAAAACAUGCCAAUGAUGCCUUACAAGCCUGUAUUUAUAGACUUACAACCCCAAAGAUGAAAAAUAGCAAAAUUAAGCAGCACAUCUUAACAAAAUAAGAAAAUAUCCAAAAUAAAUAUAAAAUCAUGUAAGGAAAAUCAAAUCAAAUCAAAUCAGUAAUUUAAGAAAAUCCUAAGCCGCCCUUGUGCGUUUACAUUAGGUGUGAGCCGCAAAUCCAGAUUUGAUUAGAAUUUUCUUAAAAUGCUAAUUUAAUUUGAAAUCCUGAUCUGAUUAGGAUUUUCUUAUAUUGAUGAUUUGAUUUAAAAUCCUGAUUUGAUUAAGAUUUUCUCUAACUGCUUAUUUGAUUUGAAAUCUUGAUUUGAUUAGGAUUUUCUUAGUUUACUGAUUUGAUUUGAUUUAAUUUUCGAAUUCUAUAUUUAUUGAGUAUUUUUUAUUUUAUAAAGAUAUGUUGCUUAAUUUUGCUACUUUCCAUCUCUGAGAUUGUAAUUUGUAAGCAUAUAAAUACAGACUUGUAAGACAUCAUUGGCAUGUUUUGAUUGAUUGAAAAUUAAAAUAAUUUACAAAAUUUUCUAUCUAUCUUCUCUAAUUGCUCGUCCUGAAUUUCUUCUCUUACCUUUAUUCUACCAUCUGUCUUCUUCCUCUUCUUCUGUCUUGGUUCAGCAUCAAUUGGUAUCAGAACAAAACUACAAUCUACAGUCGUUGUUUGCUUCAUAUAAACAACUCACCACUAUUACUGCCACAGAACUCCAAAAUCCUUGCCACCACCGAAAUCGUCGAUAGCCCAUGCCUAGUGUAAACACAUAAGGACGGCGUAGGAUUUCCAUCGCUCAUAUAUAUACACACACACACAUACAUACACAUACAUACAUAUGUAUAUACAUACGCACACACACACAUAUAUACAUAUAUAUAUCGAGUCAGAUUUGAGGCGGGACAUUAUUUUCCAUACCCGACUUGAAUCUAAAACCCAUACCCAUCCCGACUUUUAAUUCGAUCGGAUACUCAAGGAGUCGGAUGAGAUUGCCAUCCCUAUAUUAGACAGAGCAUCAACUUCUUAACAUAUUGUAAUAGGAAAAUAUUUUUUUAAAAGUCCAUUGAUACUUCAGAUUAGGUGCAUGAUUCCAUGUAUAUCCUCAGAUUAAUGGAGGUGAUCGAUCAGACAAGAGAGCAAAAUAUCAUACAAAUUGUCACCACCAAUAGCCUACAGUAUGAGACCACAGGGAAGAUCUGAUGCAGCGGCAACCACGUAGAUUCUGGAUAUCAUGUGCCGCACAUUGUAUCGACCUAAUAUUGAUGGACAAUAGGAAGCCUAGUAGGAUGCAAAAGGCAGCGAACUCAGCACGGACUAUUAUUAGAUUCAUUUAUAAUCCUAUCAUUGAUGCAGAGGUAUACAAAGGGAGACAUAUUGAGAUCAGGAAUCACACAGUUCGCUACAAAUUAUACAGCAUUUGAUAGCCUUAUCGAUGAGAAAGUACACCUACUCAGAUGUUUAUCAGUCUCGAGUAGCAAAAGAGUAGAUAUGCCAGCACAGGCAUUGAGGAGAGCAAUGUAGAGAACUUAGUACGAGAUAGACAUUUUGACAAUGGAUUGAGAACAUAACAAAGGCAAUUAAGCAUUUAUAUGACGUGCUUCAGAUAAUGAACAGUGAAAGAUACCCCCAGAUGGGCUUUCUAUAUCACAUAAUGGAGAGGACAAAGGAUCCGAUCAGGUCGGUGAUCCGAAACGUGCUCAUGAGUGCAUCCAAAUCAUUGAACAUUGGUGGGACUAUCAGAUGGAUAGAAACUUGCAUCUAGUAGAUAAGCAGCAAAUCAAAAAUGCUCUAAAAAUUUGAUUGCUCUUAUAUUUGUACAAGAUAUUUAACCAAUUUUGAAAUAUAUUUGCAGCUUACUAUUUGAACCCGAGAUUCCAGUACACGAUACUAAAGAUAGAUAUAGAUAACGAGCAUCUGAUAGCCCUACGAAAUAUAAUAUAUUAGAUCGAGUCCGAUGCCAAAAUUACAGCUAUGUGCCUAAAAAAAGUUAGGUUGACUGAUUUUUGUCAACCUAUAUCUUCAACCAAUAACACAUUAUAACAAAUAUAUUUUUAUAGAUGAAAAUAUUUAGAGAGAGCAUCGAAACCUUGAAGCAAAUGUGAUGAUCAUAAGCAAAAAAAGGAUUAGUCCAAAUAGAUUAUAAAUGACCCACGACAAUCUUAUUUUUUUAUUUUGUUCAAUCUCAAUGCUUUGCAACUAAAUAGUGGAUCCAUUUUGGAUUGGCAGCAAUAAAUAUGAAAUGACUUGCCAUCCGGAUCCUCUCCCAAAUAGUCUCCUCGAGUGUUGUAAUUGAUCGACUUUCGCCCCUAUCUAUAGCAAGCAGAGGAAGCAUUUGACACAAAUGCUUCAACGAUCUUGUAUAUAUUCAUUACAAUCUGAGGUUGAGGCUCAAGUGCAUUCAAUAGAAAGAUGAGCUGAAGUACUCGAAUUCGACUGCAAGUGACUUUGUUAAUUAUGAGGACUAAUGAUCGGAUGGUUUGCAUGUCAACAGCAAGAGUCGGAACUUAAUAAGCUAGGAUAGCCUACACCACUAUUCAGUUUCAUAGCUAGCAAGGUUGGGAUAGAUGCUAAGCAAUGUGCAACUAGUCACAUUCUACGCAGGCUUCCAGCUAAUCAAUCACAACAUCCAUCCUCACAAUUUAGCCAGGCAGAGCGAGGCACGACAUGAGGACAGGUAGCUGCUCAAUGUACAGAGAAAAAAAAAAAGUUGUAGCCUGGUGAUGAUAAGUAGGAUUCUGCAAAUUAUAGGCGAAGACGUAAUUUAAGAAUUUUAGGAUUUUGAAUAAUUAAGGGAUUUUAUCUCGUUUCCAUCUUAUUUGAGAGAUUUUAUCUCGUUUCCAUACUGAGAGAAAAUCUUGUUUCUAUUUAAGAGAGAUUUUAUCUUAUUUCCAUUUUAUUUGAAAAUUUUUAUUUUAUUUUCAUAUCGAGAUAUGAUUUCCGCUUUUAUUAGGAUGUGAUUUCAUUAUCUUAUUUGAGGGUCUAUUUAAAGAUUCCUACUGUAUUGAAGAAGACAGCUUUGAAUGACAACUUGAAAAUUCUGAAGUGAGCUAUUUUUCUUUCUCUUAACUUCUUUAUUUUCCUUUGGCUAUUUUUCUUCCUCUUGAUUUCUUUAUUUUCCUUUCCUCUUUGCUAUCUUGAUUUUUCUUGAUGCCGCAUCAAAUUGGUAUUAAAGACCUAUCAGAUCACUUUCUGCCACCAUGCAAAUUGCUUUGAGGUAAUUGAUCUCGUCUCGCAUAAGGUACGGUUCCUUCAUUGAACCUUGUGACUUCUUCAAAUUGUGGAUAGCUUCCAUGAUUGCUUAGGUCCUUUAUUUUAUUUCAUCCCUCUCUAAACCCAAAAAAAGAAAAAGAAAGAAAAGAAGAACCCUAAUCAUUUUGUCAACCUCAUUUUGUUCACAUUUAUUUUCAGUAGCUCAGUUAUAUCACAACAUGUCUUUGAUUUUGCACGAGUUAAAAAAAACAUAGGCACUACAUUUAAUUUUACAUUCCUCGUUGUGAGCAUUGCAGUUGAAUUUCUUUGUGAUAACAACAUAUAUCACUUUUGUCCUUGCCCUUCCUUGCUACCAUGACCAUUGAUAAUUUGAAAGAUGUUUAUUCUGUUAUGAAAAAAAAGCUUGAAUCAGUUAAAAAUAUCCAAACUGCAUUUCAAGAGACUUUUAACCAAAUAUGCCAGUCAUUGGACCGACUUCAAACUGAGCUUAAUGAGCUUCGCACUAAUCAAGUUGAUCGCCGUAUAGACAUGGCUAAUCUCAUCAGUCAGCAAGUCAAACACCAACUGUCCUUGAGAGAGUCAAGACUGAGAAAAUAUCCUCCAAAGGAUGACCAUACUAGUAGUCAACCCAUUCAUCAAUCUCCUUUUCAGACUCUUAAGCCAAUUGGUGGUCCGAGUCAUGUCUUGCAAACUAGUCAGUCCUUUCAAACACCACUAAUUUACAUGUCAGUCCCUUCAAUUUUCCAUCAUUCCAUAAACAAUUUUCAGAGUCCUCAUAAUCAUAGGAUUCCUCCAGAUUAUAUAGCACAAGUUAGGGAUGAUGAGUACUAUGGAGAUGACUAUAAGGGAGAAGUAGAACAGCCUAUUUUCCCAUCUAGAUGUCAUGAGCAACCUACAAGGUAUGCUCGAGGCCCUAUGAAUGGGAUCCACUUGACCUCGAACUCCCAAGAUAACCCACCUCCUAAGAUUGAGCAGUUGACAAAGGAGCCUGAGGAUGUGACCCAGAGGACAUACCAGAUGGUCAAAUAGAGGUUGUAAACCAUAGCCUUGGUGAUUUGCUUAGGUGUCUAGUUAGCGAUAGACCUGGUACAUAGGAUUUAUCAUUGCCUAUGGUAGAAUUUGCCUAUAACAACUCGAUGAAUCAAUCUAAUGGCAAAAGCUCUUUUAAAAUUAUUCAUGACCUUAAUCCUCGUCAACCCAUUGAUCUUAAAACCCUUACCUAUGGAUAACCAUAUUUCUGAGCCUGCCACCUCUUUUGCUCAACAUAUUCAUGACAUUCAUGCUGAUAUUCGACGAAAAAUUACUACAAAUGCUGAGAAAUAUAAACUUGCUGUUGGUACUCACCAUAGGAAUGUAGAGUCAAAUGAGAGUGACUAUGUAAUAGCUCCUAUUCAUCCGGAAUGUUAUCCCAAACGUUCGUUCAAAAAAUUGCUGUUAGUACUGGUUGCACUACAUUCUCAGUGCGAGUUCCAAUUCUUCCUCCACUUCCGUCGUCGUCACGGGACCACAUUGAGCGCAUUAUCAUUAACGAGAUUGUUUCUUCUGCUCAAGGCAAAUUUCAAAGAUUUUGGUUAAGUGGCAAGACCUAUCAGAUUCAGAUGCUGCUUGGAUUCAUGAGGAUGAGUUACACCACAUUGAUCCAAAUCUCUUAGAGGCCUACCGCAAUUCCUCGCCAAAGGCGAGUUCAUUCCAGUCAGGAGGAAAUGAUGAGAAUUAGGAAUUCAGCACAUUUUUGACAGAGACGUCAUAAUUUAGGAAUUGUAGGAUUUUAAAUAAUUAAGAGAUUUAUUUGAAAGAUUUUAUCUCGUUUCUAUUUUAUUUGAAAGAUUUUAUCUCGUUCCAUAUUGAGAGAAAAUCCUUCCAUCUUAGAAAGAUUUUAUCUUGUUUCCAUCUUAUUUGAGAGAUUUUAUCUUGUUUCCAUAUCAAGAGAUAUGUUUUCUACUUUUAUUAGGAUGUGAUUUCAUUUCUAUCUUAUUUGAGGGUCUAUUUAAAAACUCCUAUUGUAUUGAAGAAGACAACUUGAAAUGACAACUUAAAAAUCCUAAAGUGGACUAUUUUUCUUUCUCUUGACUUCUUUGUUUUCCUUUGACUGUUUUUCUUCCUCUUGAUUUCUUUAUUUUUCUUUCAUUUUAUUUUUCUUUCCUAUUUACUAUCUUGAUUUUUCUUGGUGCCCACUCACCCGGAUGGAGUGUAGUCAGUUGAUCCAAUUCGCUCAAAUUCAAAGACCAAACAAAGCAGUGAUGAUAGUUUUUCUGAUGAUCAUGGAUCUGAUAGUCAGGAAGGGAACGGAGGACGAGACCAUUUAUAAGAUGAUCUUCGAUUUACUAGUGAAUCUCAAUUAUUCAUGCCACACAGGAUGGGGACCAUGGUGUACAAACUGAUAGAGCCCAUGGAGAUACGAUUGCAUACAAACAAUGGGCGCCUCAAGAUCAUUCAAGAUACCAUGCAGCUGCAGAUGAUCUCGCACGUGGAGUUAGAUUCAUGAACAUAUCAGAUUCAUUAUCAUAUUUGGAUCCUCUUAUCUGCAGCCAAGAUAGUUAUGAUCCAUACGAAUAUGCAUAUGAUGCAUCUGAGGCAUCGUCUUCUAACAACUACCAUCCUAUAUAGUCCGAAGCAUCUUACAGAUCAGAUUUUGCUAUCGACAUAUUCGAAUGGACCCCUCCACAGCCAUACUAUCAGCUCAAGGACAUCUCUCAGAGCUAGAGCUUCAGCAAUAAAUCUGAGACAAAUUAUAAUCCCGCAUGCAUACCUUAUGAGAUAAGCGCAGAGGGCUACAAUGCUGCAUGGUUAGAGGGAUGGACUCAUGUUCCUAUGAUUAUGUAAAUGAUCUACAUAUUUAUUAAUGAUAUCAAUGCUCGACGAGAUUCUAAAUUCCAAUACGUAUUGAUUAUUUAUUUUUUAUAUAUUCAAUUGAUUUGAACAUUUUAGGAUUCAACAAUAUCUAAUCCUUGUAAAGUUGUCCCUAGGCUACAUGUUGAAACUUGCAAUGCUAUUCCCCUUUGACACAACAUCAAUAUCAAAUUCAAAUCCGCAUCACACAUUUAAUCCCGAAUGUAUCGGAGCGAUACAAACGUCAAAUAACAUCAACAAACAUCAAUUUGAGCUUAAAAUCAUUCAAAAAAUUAUGAAAAGUUAAUUAGAUAUUUUAGAAAUUGAAAUAAAAAAUAAAAGAAAAGAAAAAAAAUUGGCAUGUCGGUUUGACCAACAUGCCCCACCGUAUCAAAUAUCGGUAGAGUACAAAGCCGAUCGUUAAUCAACAUGGAUGCUGGUAUCAAUUCAUCCUUCCUUGGUCCUUACGAAUGAAUUCACCCCCUUUAAUGCACAUGAUUCCAAUGAAGGUUCUCAGUUUCGAUAUCGGUGGUCGUUCCAAUUGACCAAUGGCACGGUCCGAUAUGAUUCCAUACUUGAUCGAACCAGUGCAAAUCGACAAAGGGAUGAACCGAGGAGAAAAAGAGAGAAAGAGAGGAAAAGAGAAGAAAAGGAAGACAAAGAGAGAGGGGGAUCCACCGGAGAGGCCGCCAGAGAGCCUCCGACUGGCCAUCAUGGCCGUCAGACAGCGUAAAUAUUGCCUGCGGCUCCGCGGCGUGAAACAGAGACGAUCGCCCCUGUUUCACGGGCUUUUUUUAAAAAAUCCGAUAACAGUGAAACCGACAAUAGGUUUGCCAGCUUUCCUGUUUCUGAAUUUUUUUUAAAAAAAAUUAAAAUAGUAAAGCCGACAAAUCGAUUGCCGAUUUCACUGUUUCUAAACUUCUAAAAAAGUUUUUAAAAAAAUGAAACCGACAAACCAAAUACUGGCUUCACUGUUCGUCUUCCUUUUUAAAAAACUUGCAUAGGGGCGAUCAUCCCUGUUCCGCACCUGCGACUCUGCCCGUGCCACUUCCGCCAUCCGAUGGCCACAACGACCACCCAAAGACCUCCGCCGUCUCGUCCUCCUGACUCCGACAACCUCCCCCUGUCUCUCUCUUUCUCACUCGUUGCGACAGCCCUAUCAGACGAACCGAGCUUCCACGAGCCUUCGACGGCCACAGAGGGCCACCACCGACCUCCUGCAACCUCUCCCUCUCCUCCUCUCUCUUCUUUUGUUUCCCUCUCUUCCCCGGCACCAACGUGUGCCGUUUUCACUAUCGAAACCAUCCCGAUUCCCCACCGAUUCGGUUCGGCACACCCCAAACCGUCUGAUUCGGGACGGAUUUAAAAACAAUGAUUCCAAUAAUCCUCUCCAAAAAUACAUGACCUAUGACACAGAUACUAGGCUUGAUAAUUUUGUUCGAUCCACCAAGUACCCAAUCAAUCCGAUCCGAAUGAGGCAGAUUUUAUCCAAUCCGAUUAAAAUCAAGAGCGGAUAUAAGUUCCAGAAAAAAUCAGAAGUGAGUUCAGAUCAGGUACAGAUAAUGGUAUGCCCCGUCCCAAACCCAACCCAAUUAAACUCUUAUAUAUAAAGGCCUAACACAAAGCCCUUGCCAUAAUCUACGCUUCCCUACUCACUGCUCCACUCGAACCACUCCAUGCUUCCAUUCCCUAGCCAUCGUCUAAGCUUCCCUAUUUGAACCUCCCACCCAACUGAAACUCCUAAGGAUGGCAAACACAAAGACCUAGCCAUCGACCAAGCUUCCCUAUUCGGCCCUCCCACCCAAUUGGACUCCUAAGGAUGGAAAACACAAAGCCCUAGCCAUCGUCUAAGCUUCCCUAUUCGGCCCUCCCACCCAACUGGACUCCAAAGGAUAGAAACCACAAAGCCCUAGCCAUCAUCUAAGCUUCCCUAUUUGGCCGCUUCAAGCCUCCCACUAGAUUAAGACUCCUAUGAACGAAAAAAAUAAAGGGAAGAUAGAAAAUUAAAAGGUAACAUAGCUUGAUCAUUUUUUUUCCCUUUUGCUACUUCUUUUCUUCAUUUUAUUCUCUUUUUCGAAGAUUUAUGGGGAAGGUGAGCACCUGAGAGGGAGAUCAGAGGCCCAGAGGGUUUUCUCAAUUUUGUGCGAGUUGUGGUGGCGUCAGUUGGUCCCUUCAGAUUUUAAGAGCUUAAUCUUGGUAGAAGUAUGAUAGUUUGUGGGAUUUGGUGGAUUGGUGAUCAAAAGGAUUUUCUUAGGCUUCAAAAUUUUUAUGACAUUCUGUUCUCCUAAUAAUAUGAAUAUGAAACCGAGGUUGAGGGAGAUGGGCCUAUGCCUCCAAGGCUUCUUGUCAAGUAAAGGGAUGGCUUCAGAUCUCAACCAACAAUUCUUGCAUUCUUUGAGGGUAUGAGAGAUAAUGGAUGGUGUGAGAUCCAACCCAAUCCGAUUUUAUUCGACCAAAUUCGAGUUAAGACAGGGAUACCCAACCCGCCCUAACCCACACCCUCAAUUUUACCUGACCCACGAUAGGUAUGGGCUGGGUACAAGUAUUGGUCGACCCGACCCAUUGCAAUCCCUAACAGAUACUUCCAUAAUAUAGCCGUGUGCAUGUCUGAUACGUAUCAGAUUUAGAUACAACCUAGAUAAGCACCGAUAUGUGCUAGAUACUUCUUGUAAGUAUCCAUCUAUUUUUAUUCAAAAAAGCAAAAGGCAUUGGACGAGGUGAGGAUACAUUUUGAGUACAAUUUGGACAAACCCUAGAAAGUAGAAACUCCUGGGAUUUACCGAGUCAUGGAUUAAAUCAAGUUCGUCAAGCAACAUUUUGGCCCACAAUAUUUAGAGGUGCAAAAGACACCUAUGUGUACCCUAAAAACGAGAAAAUAGCCAAUUAACAAAAAAAGCAAGGAAACUUAUAACUAUAAAGUUUCUAUGAAGUACACUAUAUGAUAUAGUUACAUAUGCAAAAAAAAAAGGAUUUUGUCCAAUUCAUACAAUACUUCUAUCCUAUUUUUCUUGAUUUGGAAUACAAUGUUCAUGUAUCAUGUCAUAUUUGUUUCCCACAUCCAUAUCCAUGAUUGGUAAAAAAAAAAAUCAAGUUUGCAAUUGCUCCUCUAAGGUACAUUUAAAUGAAUAUCUACAUUUAAGGUUCACAAUACCGGCUUUGGUACCCAUAUUGGUAUCAUUCUAGUACAGUAUCAAUAUGGGUCGGUUCACGGAACCAACACUCAAUAUAUCCUCUAUCCAGGUUUUGGUUUGCUAUUGGCAUGGUACCGUACGUCUGGUAUUGGUUGGUAUAGUCUAGUACAAAUUAUUACAUAUAUUUUUGCCUAUUAGGUGUUGCCUUUCUCCUGAUGUAUAACCUGUUAAGAGAAAUACCCUUCUUAUCUUUUACUUUAUUUUCCGUUACAAUUUAUCCUUUAUUAUUUUUGGAUGGGAUUUUAGUUUGACUUAUUGGCCUACUUCAAGAGCCAAUGGGAACUUGUUUUUAGAGAUGAAUUUGUUGGUGGGUAUUUGUUGAGAACCGAUCAUGUCUAUAUUGUGGUGGAUGGAAUAAGAUGCAUAAACCCCAUUUCCUUCAACUACUCUCCACUUAAAAAACCUAUCUUGGCAUUAUAUAGAUCAUUCUAUGAUAGUUCCCAUUCCUGUGUGAUUAUUUUCCUGCUAUGUCACUUACGUACUUCCUCUCUACUAUUGAGUUCCUCUAGGGCUGGGUUACCUUUUAUCCUGCCUCUUACCCUGCUUAUUGGUGGCUAGAAUGAGGCUUGUUUUAUUGCACCAUGGUUCAUAUUAUGUAUGCACAUCUGUGUAAGUACUUAUAUAUGUAUGGAUGUAUAUUUAUCCACGAGACCCAGGAUUCUAAGGUAAAAAUGAACAAAUAACAUCUCAAUAUUUGCAGAGAUGCUUCUUGUUUCAUAAAAUUUGUGUUUCAAAAGAUUAAUGAUCCUUUACUAAUAAAAUAUUGAUGUUAUGAUGCAUGUGUGGCAUAAAAAUAAUUAUGCUACCAAACCAUCAAAUCAACUUCUAAAAAUGCAAGUCCUGACUAGAAUAAUUAACAUAUAUCAACAACAACACAAACCAGUUCAUAUCUAUAGAUCAAACUAACAAAAUAAGCUUGAAAAAAACAAAGUACCUGCAGUGCUGGAAAGGUAUGAUCAUCCAGAAGAUAAAAAACAAAAGACUCAAGCAGUGAGUGCCUGGUUAUACCAAAAGAUGCAGCAAAAUCAUCAACUAAAUAUUUCCAUUCACCAUCAGGUAGAGUCCAAUGUCUAUCAAACAGAUAGUAUAAGAACUGCAAGCAAGUUAAGGAAAAAUGAGGGAAGCACAUAAGCACCAAUAUAAAUAUCACAACUGCAAAGCACAUAACAGAGGUCAAGGAUACAAUUGCAUGUUUGCAGACCACCAUAUCAGAAGUUCCAUGUAAAAACAGUACAUCAGUAGCAGCUCGCAAAUUUUUAAAUGGAUAACACCCAUCUUUAUUGGCCUCAUCUAUCUUGGAAUGGAAAAGCAGCGGGGAAUUUUCAUCCUGCAAGAAAGUAAUAUCCACUUCCUCUUUGCUUCUCUCCAUAUAACUCUGUUCCAUCCCAAGAUUUGAUAAUGCUUGCUCAAUGAAAAGUGUGAAACCACUUGACCUCACAGAAUCUGCCAAAUUGCUUGGAAACUCAGGCCAUGACCUAUUAACUGCAGCUGACUUUCUUUCUUGCACAUGCAGACUCCAUAAGGCAGAAUUAGAGAAACGUGACUGUACAUUCUUAAGAAAUUGAUGCCUUGUACACCAAAUCAUGACCUCCAAGUGCUGAAGAAAAAAAAGACAGUAUCAAAAUACAUUACAACAUUUUAUGUAGAGGUAAUGGCAUAAAACUAGUUAUACAUUUGCUCCAAACACAAUAUCUGUGAACAAUUUCAACAAUAAAAAAUAAUCAAUGCAUUAGAUUUUUGUCAGCAAUCAAGAGAGGAGAGAUUCUGGCAUGAUCCCUUUGGCCUUCCCGUCACUUGUGCAUGAUCCCUUACUCUCAACAACUAAACCAUAUAUGCAAAAGUGAAACUCUGUCAAUGAAAUGAACCAUUUCUUUUUUCCUUUUAAUAUUCUAAAGAAUUAGGGUUCGAGGGACAGGUAGUAUUGAAUAAUGUAGAGCGCCAAAUCUAAACGAAAGCAAUGGAAUUGGUUUCAAUUUUCAAACUCAACUUUCCAUAAAGAAAGAUGGAGUCAAGGUUGAAAAACUCUAUAGGAUAGUUGGAUGCCUUGGCACACUAUAACAAUAGAUUUGCAACUAUUUUUUCAUAGGAAAGCAAAGGGACAAUAGAGAUGAAGAGGCUUGAGAUCUUGCAAAAAGUUAACAAUUUAAAGUCAUCAUAAGAUCACCUCGUCAAAUGUUAUGGUGCUUGGCAUAAGAAUGAUGUUGGAAUGGUGUCUGGCACAUGAUGUUGGAGGCUCCACUCAUACUCAUACAAGGACCCUUCCUAGGCAUGUUCUCUACAACCAUGAACAGCUAGGAUUCAAUCAAUGACCUCCUUAAUCAACACAUAAAACGAAAUGUUGAAAUUAGUAGUUAGACCAACAAGUUUAAGAAGGGGUUGGAUUGGGUCUAACUAGCCAAGUACAAGAAAAUUUGUCCACGUGUUAAGCUGGGGCAAUCAGGGCUAAUCUUUUCCUUGCAUCUCUCCAUUUUCAUCUCCAUUCCUCCAAAUGGUUCAAGAAAAAAUGGUCUACUAUUUCUGAUUGAACCAAACAACUCAAGAAGCCACACUUUCUUUUUUGCACAUAAAUUCAUUUUCUCCUCUCCCUCAUACUUGCAAAGAAUUACAUCCUUAGAUAAAUGUUACUAAGUCGAGUAGCUAGAACUUCACAUCAAAUUAUGGAUGGAAAAUGUGUGACAAUAUAAUUUUAAAAAAGGAACCAGAUAUGUGAACAUACAGCAAGCAAGAGCAUAGCCUAUCAAUCAUAAAUAAGAGUGAAAAGGAGAGAAACUGAAGAGAGUAAAACAACAUUACAUACGUACGAGCCAUUUCCACGUCAAAUAAGAGGAUAGAAAUGUCCAAAAAAACAACAUAAGGCUAUAAAUCAAUUUUCAAGCUACUCUCAGAAAAUUUGUUUCUUUUCUAUUUCUAGAAUGCAACAAGAUAUAGGAAGGCAUGGUAUCCUAACAUGAAGAAGUCGAUAGAAAUUUGGUUUUGACAAUAUACUCAUGGCUGCUGUUAGUCAAGUAGGAAAAUGAACCUGCUUUGCCUUCAAUGUGUUCUCCAAAAGGUGAUGCAAGUCAUGAAGCUGACCUGAAAAGGUCUCCUUAAAUGAUGAAUACAUAACCUCAAGAACAUUAGAAAUGCCAGUUAACCGCAAUGCCAACAUUUGCAACAGAGACAGCUCAGAUUGCAUUGUCUCUAGAUCAUGUUUAUCUAUAUCAUUGUCAAGCCAUAACCUGUAACAUUUCCAUUAAAACAUUGAUGCACAUUUACAAACUGCUAAACUAUAUACUUCAUGAAAGGCUAUAACUACUUUAGGAUACAAAUCCCAUGGAGAUCAUGAAUGAUUUUCUUAAAUGUUCGCUUGCACCAGUCCUUCACAACCACUUCAUCCAAAAGAAAAGCAAGAACGGGAUCACUUGACACCGCAUUCUCAUCCAUACAGACAUCUGAAACAUCUGAUGAAUUUGUAAAGGUAACAACUGGAAAAAUUUUGAAAACUGGAAAGCAGAUAAAAUGUGAAUGAGAUAAGCUUAUGAGCAUCUACACCACAAUUUCAAGUAAGAUAAAUGUUAGCGAAGGAUACAGUGGCAAAUCAAAGAAACGAGAUUGUUUUCUAAUGCAACAUCAAACAGAGAAUAUAGACGUUCAAUAUCAGCCAUUAUAUGCUCCCUGCUGUCUUCCUUUUCUUGAAAUCUGUCAUCAUCUCGUUUGGAGAUAAGACCAGCCUCAAUGCAUUUAUUAUAAAGACGAAGUCGGACUCUGGCUCCAUUGUUUGGUAUUGAUGUUCUACAAACUGGGCAUACAUCAUAUCUCUGGCAGCAUUCUGCACAUAAAGAGGCAUGCCCACAUGAGUCAAGUACAUGUUGCACGUAGCGUCCACAGUUCCUCAAAUCUCUAGUUGCUCGGCAACACUCAAUUUUUGCUUCAUUGCAUAGUUCAAUUAGAUCCAUUGAUGCCAAGUGCUCCAAUGCAUCCUGUUAUUAGAUAGCAUAAUCACAAUGACAGUUCGUAUAAGGAUUUAUUAGUAAACAAACCAUUUUAUUUAUGUAAGGUUUUAGAAAACAGCUACUGCAAAAAUAUUUCAGAAUACAUUUGUAUGUAUGUACAUACAUACAUAUGUAUGUAUACAUGUAUAUACAUAUCUAUAUAUAUGUAUGUAUGUACAUACAUACAUACAUAUAUAUAUAUAUGUAUGUGUGUGUGUGUGUGUGUGUGUGUGUAUAUGUGUGUGUGUGUGUGUGUGUGUACAUACAUAUGCAUGCAUGUAUGUAUAUGUGUGUGUGUGUGUAUACAUAUAUACAUACAUACAUACAUAUGCAUACAUGUGUGUGUGUGUGUGUGUACAUACAUAUGCAUGCAUGUAUGUAUAUGUGUGUGUGUGUGUAUACAUAUAUACAUACACAUAUACAUACAUAUACAUACAUACAUACAUAUACAUACAUAUACACAUACACAUAUACAUACAUAUACAUACAUACAUAUACAUACAUACAUAUACAUACAUAUACAUACAUACAUAUANNNNNNNNNNNNNNNNNNNNGUAUGUAUAUGUAUGUAUGUAUAUGUAUGUAUGUAUAUGUAUGUAUAUGUGUAUAUGUAUGUAUGUAUGUAUGUAUGUGUAUGUGUGUGUGUACGUGUAUAUAUACAUAUAUGUAUAUAUAUAUAUACGUGUAUAUACACAUAUAUGUAUAUACAUACAUGUAUAUGCACAUCUACAUACAUGUAUGAAUGUAUGUACAUACAUACAUGUAUGUAGAUGUACAUAUACAUAUGUGUGUGUGUGUGUGCUCGAGAAAAUAAUCAAAAUUCUAAAGAUAAAAGGCCAGACAAACAGAACACGGGGGACACAAUCAUGAGGAAAUACAGCCCUGGAUCUUUUAACAAUGUUAGAGACUUAGAGUGCAAACUAGCAACAUCACUGAAGGGUUAGAAUCUUGGCCACAUGUUGCAUCUCAUCUAUGUCAAAGUGGACAUAGGAUUUGGCUGGAAACGUAAGUGAAGAAGCUUGAAUUAACUAGUUCACUUCUUCCAUAUAUAAAGUUUAGAAUAUAAGUGAGAAACAACAUCUGUAUCAAAGGAUGCUUAAUUGUUUCUUCAUUCUCAGCGUCCCAUAACUUGAGAUUUGAUGCCAUCAUCCCCUAGUCACAGAAACUGCUAGCUCCCUACCACUUGGAUGGAUGGACAAAUGCUCCAAUCUGAACAUCACAAUGAUGAUUUAUUGGCUCACCUCCAUUGACAAGGUAAGCAAGGCAGCUAGGUAUCCCCUAGUUGAUACGGACCCCUUACUGCCUAGUCAAAUAGGCAGACUGCCUAAUUUAGGUAUCCCAAUUUUUGAAAGACCAUGAAUAAAUAAAUAAAUGGAUCAAAAUUAUUGCUAUUAACCAUAUCUUUUUCUGGAUCAUAAAGACAAAUAACUAAACAAACCAUUAUAGGAUAUUAGGGGAUAAGAUUAACCAAAACCAAGAAACGUUUUGAUCACAUAUAAGUCCACAAGUCACAGUGAUUCUGUCAAAAACAAAAUAAGGACAGGUCAAACAAAAGGUGUAAAGAAAACAGAAAUAAUAGACGAGAAAAAACAAAUUGAAAACAUAUAAAGGAAAAGCUUGAGAGAGAGAGGGGGGAGAUGAAAAAUGACUAGAGGACAGUCAGUUUAUUCAAAACGCAGGAGGGGGUGUGUGGGAAUGAAAAAAGAAAAGGGGAAAGAAAAUGGAUAAGAGAACCUAAAAAGCAAGAGGAAAAAAAAAAAGAAGAGGGUGAAGAGUGAGUUGAUCACCGGGAUUACACUUUGAAGAUCAAUGCACUAACAGAACCAAAAUGAAUUGAAGAACGAACCUAUUGUUUGGUGAAGGAAGUUAUCUCCAAGAAAUUCUAUUAAUAUAUCAAAAGAUUAUGAUGUAUAAUAUAUUAGAUACAUAUAUAUAGAAGAUGAUCCUAUCCUAAUUCGGGCAUUAAACCCCGUAAAAAAUCAUACUUGAAGUAGGACUCAAUAAUAAGGAAACAUGCUACAGAUAUCCUAGUUAAAACUCGAUAUGGUUUUCAAAGGAAAACUAAUGCAAAAAUCCAUAGGUUAAAAUUCAAAGUCUUCGCUCGCGAAUCCACUAGCUCAUGCAAAGUUUGGCAUGGUCCAAGUGGUCAAAGCACUUGCUAGCUGCAUGUGUUGCACCAGGAACUUGGGAACAUGAGGGAUGAAAGUAAGGCAAAAUUGAUACUUGUUUAGGAGCCUUCGAGCAGACACACGACUACCAACAAGCCUGCAAAACUACUGGAGGUUAUUUAAAGGCUGUUAGAGACCACCUGAUAGGUAACAAAUUGGCAAAUAUAGGACUGCCAGUGGACUGGAGGGAUUGGUUGCCACUUACCAAAGACUUUUGAUACAGAGAUGUUAGGUUGGGUGAAAGAGGAGCUUAGAGAUUGUAACUUAAGUUUUCAUUUACAUCAUUUCACCUUAUGUUGAGAAAAAUGUACCUCAUUUUAGUUGUAAUAAUGAAAAAAAAGAAGAACUUAGUAGCAAGGUUCGCUGGACCUAUACUAGCUGUUGUACUCUUAUCAUUACAGACUUACAGUACAGUAUGCCUAGCAUGGUAUAGCAUACUCCCCAUACUAACAAAGGGUUGGGAGAUCCUUUUCCUUAUCCCCAACCAUGGUGUUGCCCGAAGCACCAUAGGAUGGGCCGAUGCAACAAGAAACUAGGAAGAACAGGAUUAGUUUCGCUCAAUAUAAGCUAGGUCGACCCCUAUCCCACAUGGAAACUCAUCUAUUACAAUACGAUACAUUCGGUAAAAGGUAGACUUGUUGACCAAUGACUACGUGGUUGUUACGGGAUCAUACUAUCUCGACUACUGCCCUCGGGACUCAUCCUCAGACAUACUCUUCAGAUCAAUUGAAGUACCGAGACAGACUCUAAACGAUGAACAUCAUUUGGAUGUUCUAGCAACAGAGCAAACGGCUUCACCGGACUUCAUUCCUGAACAUCAUCCUCGGCCACAUGUCAAGGACACCAAUUUUGACCUUGUAAUCGGCCCAGUGCCGACGACUACGACCGACAACUCGUCAAUGCCACCAUGGAGAGCCAAAAGGGGAUGAUCCCGUCGGCUCUUGUCCGACCUCCUGAAGCGAGCACCUACCAACCUCGAGGUCGGAACCUCGCCGACCACGCAGGAUGAUUUCUCAUGACCAACAUCGAUGGUAACAUAUCCGGGCCAAGGCCUUGGCUGUGUGCCGACCUCAAAGACCCUCUAUAUAGCGGCCUACAACUCCUCUAUAUAAAGAGAUAACUCGAAGACCCUUGAGGUAAGCUCAACUAGAGAAAAAAAAUGCCUUUUGCGCUCUUGCCCUUCUCUCUCUCUCCUUUCUAUUGUUCUCAAGCUCCAGCUAACUUGAUCAUCGGAGGAUCCCUCGCCGAAGAAUCCCUGACGUGUGUAGACUUCUCUUGCAAGUCACUAUUAGCAUCCCUGUGCUUGAACCAUCCUCCAUCCUUGGCCACAUCAGCUUCCACUGAAGUCCUGACGCAAUAGUAGUAAUUUUAACAAUUGUGCCUAUUGAUAUAUGAUCUUUUGAAUUUUUAUUGCUCUUGAUCAUUGACAUAUUUGAUAUAUCAUCUUUAGAUCAAAAUCAAAUAUCUCUACACCAAUCUCAAUAGCAAAAAGACCAUCAUAACACCACCAUCUAAAUCAUCACUAUGACCAUGGUUCACACUACCAAUUCUGGUAAUCGUACCAGUACUAUGCUGGUAUUGGUACAGGUUAGUUCAUGUUAUCAAUACUCAGUACCACUCCACACUGAAUAUCAAUUUGCCGCCAAUACAGUAGGGUAUGCUCGAUACCAAGCGAUAUGAUCUGAUAUAGUAAACCAUGAUUAUGACACAACCACCCCAACCACCACCAUAGUUGGCAUUAUCUAGAGUCAUCUUUGCAUAAGGGCUCUUUCUACAUGGAUUAGUCACCCUACACUAGCCCAACUACUAACCCAUUCUCUCUUAGUUUGACUAAUCUCAGCAUAAGGGCAAGUUGUCUUACUCCCAGUAGUAAAGGUCAACCAUAUAGCAGUAAUAGGAGACAACUAUCUAUUGUUUGCUACCUUAUUAACCUUAUUAUGUUUAGAGCUAUGAGACAAUGUCUUUUAUGUCAAAGCAACUAGGGAAAAAGGUCCUAAUCUUUGGGCAAGCUCUUGAAAGUAUUUGUUGAUAGGAUAGCACCAACUUUCACCUCUCCAAUCCAUCAACUGAAUUCUAUUUAAAUCAGGUAAUGCUCUCCCCCCCCCCACAAUUCUUCUGUACACCGGAUUUGGAAUAUGAUAAAAUGGGUUCUUGUUGUGAUAGUCUACCUAUCAAAGACGACUUCGCCAUAGGAUUUUUUGCACUGGUGUAGAAUCAACAUGGCUGGAUCUGUUGUCAUCACAUAUCAAUUUCUAAACACUCAUCACAGCUUUUCUAAUAUCAGCAAAUUCUUUAAUCAUACUAUGCUUUUUAAAUGUCCACCAGAUUUUUCUUCUAUUGA